rnacentral:lncRNA from 1 species
CACCGUCAUCCGGCUCUCCCUCUCGUGCUGAGAAAUUGACAGAGGAUUUGGGAAAGAGAGAUAUAGAUGAGGGGAGGGAGAAGAGAGAGAGAGAGGGGUAUUUGGGAAAGAGAGAGAUAGAGAGCAGAGGGGAAAGAGAUAGAGAGGGUGAGAGGCUUAUAGGUAAGGCCCGCCAAUUAGAAAAAGGAAUUUGUGACUGGACUGCCAGGUAAGACCAAAACCUCUCCGGUUGGAUAGUUGAGUGUGAAAGAAAUCUAGUUUUGAUAGUGUGAAAGAAAUCCGGUAUUGAUAGUUGAGUGUGAAAGAAAUCAAGUUUUCAGGUAUUUGCGCCGGGGGGGGGGAUAAUUCGUACUCACUCAAUAGUUUAAGAGCAUAAUUCAGACUUUUUCAAAUAAAAAAGGGUGUACCAGUUUCUAAAUCUUGUGAGCUACUCCUUCCGUAAAAAAAAAACCCCACUACCCAAAAGUGGGUUUUUUUUUAUUUUGGGGACGGAGAGAGUAUAAGAGUAGAGGUGUGACCAUAUAUUGGUAAAAUAGGAUGAAUGAGAGUUACAAUCCUUGUUUUUGACUGGUUACGAUCUUUUGUAAUUCCUUGUGACGCCCACGGUCCGAAAACUGUAUUAGGUCCAUCUCAUUCAGUUGGACCACAUCUAACACUAUACUUUCUCUGGUUCUAUAUUAAUUGACCUUUUGGACAAGAUUGAGGUUAAACUUUUAUAACUUUGACCAUUAAUAACUUUAAAAAUAUUUAGUUUAAAGAAACUAGAAAAAUAUAUAUACAUUUGUCUUUCAAAACACUAUAAUAAAAGUAAACAUGCAUUUAUUUAUUGUAUAUAUUAUAAUAGAAAAAUAAGGUCAAAGGUAUAUCUCGUAGUGAGGGAGUAACUCACUACGUUUUCCGUCUUCGCUUUAACACCAAAAUUCUGGGAAUCGAGCAACCUUUCCUAUUUAAGUUGCUCCCUACUUCCUUCGUCCUAAAAUAUAGCUACCUAGUAUUAGAUGUGACGUUAUCUAGUACUACGAAUCUAGACAUCCUCCCGUCCAGAUUCAUAGUACUAGGUAAGGUCACAUGUUAGGUAGAUACAUAGGGUAUCUUCUAGCUACAGUACCGCGAUGGUACUGUAGCGCUGCUGCUGCCGCAGUGCUUCUACUGCACUUUACUGCUGCUGCUGCUGUCUUGCUUGUAUGGACCGGCCAAGGCCCCAAGGCCAGGCCUGCUGGCUGCUGCUGCUGCUGCUGGGCUGCUAGCUCGCUGUCCUUUUUUUUUUCUCUUCUUUUUCUCCUUUUCAUGCUUUAUCCUUUUGAUAUUGUAAAUAACUACUUUUUUUCUAAUAUAUAUAUAACUAUACUGGUAGUAUUCUUGGAAAAAAAUGAAUUUUUUAGCACUCGUAAAAAAUUGGUGUAUCAAUUUAGAACCGCUACCCAUGACAAUUUUGAUUGGUUCCCCUAUAAGUUGAAGGAGGGCUUCUCUCUCGUUUUACAGUUGGCGUCCUAUAGUUGAGGGAUGUAAUAUGAAUAUUUCCCUAAUUUUUGUAGCCCAUCUAUACUUUCUAUAUAGUUGGUACCCACUAACAAUUAUUAGAAGCUAAGGCUCAACAUGCAAGCAUAUGCCACAUCAUCACCCACUAGCAAUUAUUAUUCUAGCCCAUUUAAAAUCCUAUGCAAGCAUCAUGCAACAUCUUCACUCACUAGCAAUUACUGUUCUAGCCUAUUUUAAAUCCCAUGCAAGCAUGACACAUCAUCAAUAAGCAUAUGUCAAAUAAUCUUCCUCACAUUAUUUUCUCAAUAUUUCAACUUUUCAUCAUUUCGACAAUAUUUAACAUAUAAUCAUUUAUGAAUAUCGCAGCAAAGUGCAAGGUAUCACCUAGUAUGCGGUAAAUAGUUCGGCCACAGGGGCAAUACAAUUUGUCCCAUAUCGUUUGUUAUAUUCAACUCGUAAAUGCUGGUAUAUUUGGCCCGUCCGUGGUCCGCCCUUUGCAAUUUCGUCCAUAAGUGUGUAUAUACUCCGUAACUGAUAGUAGUAUAUUUUAAAAUGGAGAGAGUAGUAUAGUUAAUUUCGGCAUGUUAGAGCUUAGCAGGUGGCCCAAAUAUCGCCUUGGUUUCCUCCCACCACGUUUCCUUCCAACAAACCAUUCAUUCGUGCCAGGAAAAUCUAGCAUUAGUUGUGCCAACGCUUUCUAUGAAAAGGCAAUGCAAUUUUCUAAAGUCGUUGAGUGCAAUCAAAUUAACUUCUUAUGGCCCGGAACAACCUCGAGAAAUUAAAUUAAGGAGUAAACCCAUCAGUCGGUCAAAUGCAAGAUGCUGAUAUCUUGUCUCUUAUACUCUCUUAAUUAGUACUACUAAGGAGUAACUCGAUAGAACAUUCGGGUUCAGCCCAAUCAACAACCAGUGGCAAUCAUCUUCAGCGAAUGAUGAGAUUAAAAUUAGAUAUAAUCCCUUCGUUUUUCUUUUCAACAGAUAACUUUAUAGACGACGCCAUUGACUUUUACCGUCCUUCUUAUUAAAAAAACAUAAUUAUCAUUUAUUUUGUUGUGAGUUAUUUUAUCACUAAAAAUAUUUUAAGUAUCAUUUAUAUCAUAUAUAUUAGUAUAAAUUUUUUAAUAAUACGAAUGAUCAAAAGUAUAUCAAAAAUCAACAGCGUCACUAUUAAAAUAAAGAGAGGGAUUAUAUAUAUUUAUAUAUAUUUGCCCUCAUCCACGUCGUGUAGGACAUUCAUCCUAGAGUAGUCGAGUGAAGAACGGAGGGUCAGAAUCACAAGAGUUUUAAUUUGCAACCAAUACAAUGCGCUUGGCAUUCUCGCGGCAAGUUCCCUGCUCUGCCUAAGGAACACCUAAAAAAUCAUAUAGAAAACCAUGCAUGACAAGUCAAGUCAGAGAACUAUACAUAGCCGCGAUCUGAAAACCGACCGGCCGGAGCUAAACAAAAACAGAGCAUAUAUUCCUCUCUUAUGUAUGCAGGUUAGAACAAUAUUUAUAUGCAAACAUAGAUACGCUCGCGUUGCAAGUUGCAACUUGUUUUUCCGUUUGGUGCUAUGGCGGUGAUCAAGUCUUUGUAACGACUUAAUUAAUUAUACUGUGAAACACAUAGCAAUUUGAUAGCUGCAGCUAAUUAAUUAAGCCAGUGAUUGAGCUUAUUAUACUAUCUCUAUUUUCAAAUAAACGUUGUGUUAUUGACUUUUACACACGACGGACCACGCACAUGGACCGGCAGAACAUAUAUAAGGAUGAUCGUAUUGUACCUGCUGCUUGCUUCUAGAUGAGUCGGGAAAUGUAGUACAAACAACUCGAAAUCUGAAAACUACCGUUGGAUUAAAAAAAUGAAUAUAUAAUAUUUAUCCAUGUCAUCCAGAGUUUUACUUCCAGAUUUGAUGACGUGCAUAAAUCUCAUACAUCUAUUUUAGAAUUCAAUGAUAGUUUCAAAGUUUUCAUUACAUAUAUAGUUUGUAUUAUGUAUUUUUCCAACUAAGGUUUCGUUUGAAUCUAAUUUUAUGAGCUAAGUAUUUCCUCGUUGUCUAUAAACAAGUUUCUCGAAAGGUUAAAUUGUAUAUUUUGUGAAUGUUUUAUAGAAAAUUUUAUAUAGAAAAGCAAUUAAAUAUAUUUUUAAAAUUUAAUACUUAAUUGAUCCAAUGUUAAUAAUUAAACUGUCUUUGAUUGCGUGUCACUAAUAAACUGAGACAAAACCCAAUGUCAAACAAAGCCUAAUCUAUCUAUUAACUUAUUAAAGUAAUAGAAAAAGGAGUCUCCACGUUUGCUCUCACGGCCUAGAAAUUCCCGCGUUAAUCGGAGAAAAAGAAAAAGAAGAGACCAUAUAGAAAUAUAAUUUCAAAAGUGUUUAAUUUCGGAAUUAGAAAAUAAGGAAUAUUGGAAGAGGAGACUAGAGUCCAUAUAGGAAUACAAUUUAGAGCUAAUUAAAAUUCAGAAGAAAAAAAGAAGAAAAUUAAAAGAAGUUAGAGACUAUAUAGAAAUAGAACUCAGAAAUAACUAAGGAAUAUUGAAAAACCAGUCUAGAGUCUAUAUAUGAAUACAAUUUAGUAAUAACUGAAAUUCGAAAUUAAAAAUAAGGAAUAUUGAAAGAUAAGUUUAGAGUCCAUAUAGAAAAACAUAUACAAUUUAGAUAUAAUUGAAAUUAUGAAUUUAAAAAAUAAGAAAACUAAAAGUAGAAUUUAGAGUCCAUAUAGAAAUACAACUUAGAAAAAAAAACUAAAAUUCAAAAUUUAAAAAUAAGAAAUAUUAGAAAAAAGAAUAUAGAGUCCAUAUAGAAAUACAACUUAGAAGAAGCUAAAAUUCGAAAUUGAAACAAAAUAAGAAAUAUUAAAAAUAGUCAAAAGUCCAUAUAUGAAUACAAUUCGGAAAUAAUUGAAAUUCAGAAUUAAAAAGAAAUAUUAAAAUAUGAGUAUAGAGUCCAUAUAAUAAAAAUACAAUUUAUAAAUAAGAGAAUUUGGAAUUUUAAAAAAUAUGGAUUGUUCGAAGAGGAGUCUAGAGUUUAUAUAUAAAUAUAAUUUAGAAAUAACUGAACUUUGAGGUAUUAAAAUAAUAAAUAUUGUAAGAAGGGUUUAGAGUCUAUAUUAGAAUAAAAUUUAAAAAUAACAUGACUUCGGAAUUGGUGAGUAUACAGUCUAUAUAGGAAUACUAUUUAAAAUUAACUAAAAAUUAGAAUUUUAAAAUAAUUAAUAAAUAUCACAUAUAUAUAAUACAAUACAAUAUAUAUAUAUAUAUAUAUACUACCUCCGUUUCGAAAUGUUUGACGCUGUUGACUUUUUAGUACAUGUUUGACCGUUCGUCUUAUUCAAAAAAUUUAAGUAGUUAUUAAUUCUUUUCCUAUCAUUUGAUUCAUUGUUAAAGAUAUUUUUAUGUAGGCAUAUAAUUUUAUAUAUUUCACAAAAGUUUUUGAAUAAGACGAACGGUCAAAUAUGUGCUAAAAAGUCAACGGUGUCAAACAUUUUGAAACGGAGGGAGUAUGACAUAUUAGUUAAUUUGGUUAAGUUAGUACAAAAUUAAAAGUUAUGUUAUUGUAGGAAAAUAUAAAAAUAUAUACGAUAUUAUAUAAGAAAAAUAAAGUUGCUAGCCACACAAUUUGUGCGGUCUAUUGUGCCAGUUAAAUGUAUGACCAAAACUACCACGUACUAUAGGUAGAGCUACGAGCAGGAAUUUCGAGGGAAAUGGGCUUAUAGAGUCACAACUUCACACUACGACUAGACAGGAGAGCCUAUUAUCCUAGCAAAAGCCAACCAUACGUACGUAUAAUAAGUACUCCUACUAACAUUUGGUCAAAUACAAUAUGCUAAUAUUGACCUUAUGAUGCUAAUAUUAUCCUAACUCUUAUGAGAGCAUUUCAAAUCACGCCAAUGAACAACCCAAUAAUUAACCACUUGCAAAUUAAUUGCGGUGUCAUCUUCAACGACGUCGACAAAGAAACUAAAAACCACAGAAAAUGUCUCCUCUUCCACGUCAGGAGCUGUGCAUCCUGGAAUAAACAACUUAAGGUCAUAGUCACAGAAUUCAUUGAACUGAUGUGCUCGGCAUCCUCGCAGGAAGUUCCUGCGCGCUGCGCAAAUCUGCAACGUCGGCCAAUAAUCAUAGAGAGAACCAAUAAAAGUCAAGGCAGAAAACUACAGCUCCAGGCCGCAAGAAAAGUUGUUUUCUGUUUUCUGGUUAACGUUAUCCACAGACGCUCGUGUUGAUUACAACUUCUCUCCUUUCGGCAGUCCAAGUCUUGAUGACUGGACUAUGUUUGGAAAUCUACUCAGCAUAUCGGCACGGUCAAAUAAAACCAGCAUCAUAUAAUCGAGUAAUCUCAGCUUAUAGCAUCAUACAUAGCAGCCUUACAUCUUCUAGGUGGUUGUUGAUGUGGUUUAUAUCCUAGUUUGAUAGGAAGCCGAUGUUCAACAAUCGAUUGGCUGAGUCCUGGCAUCUCAUAAUAUUAUCAAGCAAAGCAAUCUCUGUAUUCUUUUUAAUAGCUCUAUUAACUUGGUUCUGAAUUCUGCAGAUAGAUUCUUACUGAUGAAUGUCGGCCUUGGCCUAUCCCCUGGACUUAUGUCAAUUUCCUCCAGAUCAUCGGCCGAUAUGAAACACUGUCCUAACUUGCCAUCGAGAUCAUCUACUGUGUCCUUGGUGUAGAAAUUUGAACCCUCCACGACGCCCUCAAAGUAAUAAUUUGGGCUCUCCAUCUUUAAUUGGUUGUAUAUCACAAUCAGACACUUUUAGAUAAUCUCCUUCUCAAACUUUUCCAGACAGGCAAUCAAUCCCAUCCAUCUCCCAAGGAGCUAAAUCGGCACUAGCAACAUUAACUAACCUGUCGGCUGGCACGAUCUCAAUCUUGUCACCUUGCCAUUGAAUCAAACACUGGUGCAUGGUUGAAGGAAUACAACAAUUCACAUGAAUCCAAUCCCUUCCAAACAACAGGCUGUAGGACCCCUUCCCAUCGAUGACAAAAAACGUGGUAGGAACAGUUUUGCUGCCGACUAUCAACUCCACAUUUAAAACUUCUUUGGUCUCCGAUGGAUUGCCACCAAAAUCUUUGAGAAUCAUGUUUGUCUUGAUGAGAUCGUCUAUAUUCUUGCCCAAUUUCCUGAAUGUAGCAUACGACAUCAGAUUUACAGCAGCCCCACCAUCAACUAUCAUCUUGGGCAUCGGCUUCCCGUUGACAAACCCGUUAACGUACAAUGGCUUGAGAUGCCGAUUUUCUGUCCCCUCUGGCUUCUCAAAGAUUGCUUGUUUUGGUGACAAAAUCAACCUAGCAGAGGCCUCCUCUACAUUAUCAACAUCGGCUUGCUUGGCCUCAAACUCUGCAGGCUGCAUAAAAACCAUGUUUACCGAUGAAGACGCAACAGCUUUGCCCUUAGGCAACCUCUUCGCAUUGUCGGCUUCAACCUCAUCGGCUGUUGUGACUUUGCUCUUAACACGCCACUCCUGCUUUGUCUUUUUUCAGCCGAUGGUUGAUUUCUUGUAGUACCUCCUGAAAACGUUCCUUGUUCCUCAUCCUUUGGACCCUUCUUUUCUGAUUCUUAGUAAAAAUACCAGAAGGACACCAUUGCGACUUCCUGUCUUCACCCUCUUCCUCAGAACGAGCUUGGUGCAUAGGACCCAACCUCUGAUGAACAGGCACUCUUUUCUGAAUCAGCCGAUUUCCUCGAUUGUAGGAUUGGCUCGAGUUCCCUGAAUUGUCACUGCAUCCGGGGCAAUAUUCAAUCCACGGCAAUCUCAUCCCUUCAUUCCAGCAAAACCUGAAAAACUCACAAUCCCAAUGUGGAUCAAAACCACCAUCUUUUUCUUCAAGAUAUCUCUCCUGCUGCUUAUCAUGCCUUUUCUGAUAUUUGUUGAUAAUCCUGGCUGAAUUCAGUUGUGAACCCCGAUGUUUUCCUUCAUCGGCUGCUCUUCCAGAUGUAUGCACCAUGUAGAUAGGAAAAGGAUGGCCAUCCACCUUGAUCGGGUUCUUUGAGUCAUCAAACUUAAUUUUUCCUCCCUCAAUAGCAAAUUGGAUCUGUUGCCUGAAAACUUUGCAAUCAUUAGUAGCAUGAGAGCUGGAGUUGUGCCACUUGCAAUAUUUCCUUUUCCCUAACUCUUCAACCGAUGGAAUUACAUGACCGACAGGAAGUUGAAUAUGCUUCUCCAGAAGUAGCAAAUCAAAAAUCUUGUCAGCUUUGGUGAUAUCAAAAUCAUAUUUUUCUUCUUUUCCAGAAUUCUUCACCCACCUGACAUGUCACAACCUUUUUGCUUCUUGCCCACUCGGCUGCAGCUACUUCAGAAUCAUCAUCUUCUUCAGAAUCAUACAUAUAAGGAUAAACAUGAUUGACCUUUUUGAAAUUUUUCUUAGCCUCUGCAAACCUUUGUUCAUAUAGGGUUACCUUCUGUGUAAGGUGAGACAAGCUUUCGAAAUCUUGAUACGAAAACUUCUCCUUGAUUGGAGCUAUCAAACCCUGAAAAGCAAGAUCGGCUAACUGAGGAUCGGUCAAAGCUAAACUGUAGCACCUAUUCCUCAUAUAUCUGAAUCUCUGAAUAUAAUCUUGUACAGUUUCAUCAUGCCUCUGUCUAACCGCUGUCAAAUCAUAAAUUUUCAUCUCAUGAUUUCCACGGUAAAAGUAGCUAUGAAACUGUUUCUCCAGAUCGGCCCAGCUAUGAACGGAAUUGUAAGGUAGUGAAGAAAACCAUGUGAAUGCCGAUCCAGACAAGGACAAAGGAAACAAACUGACCCUCAAUGCAUCAAUAGCCGACGCCUCACCACAUUGAGCCAAAAAUCGACUGACAUGCUCAUAAGUUGAGACAUUAUCUUGCCCUGAGAAUUUUGAAAAAUCUGGGACCUUGUAUCGGCCUGGCAAUGGUACUCUCUCAAACCACUCAGGGUAAUGGUGCCAAUACAAGUUUCCAGUAUCCUUCGGCUUAAGCCCGAACUGCUCCUUCAUUACAUCUGCAAUCAUAUCGGCCCAAGGCUUUUGCUGUGAUACUCCUUGUAUUUGCUGUUGGACUGGAUCAAACUGGUUGAACUGAGGCAAAAGCUGAUGUUGAGGUGAUCCUCCUGUUUGAUACUGAACUUGAGGCGAAUGAGGCUGAUAUUGGAAGUUUAAGUUACCACCAAGAUAGUUCUAAGGAGGCUGUUGCACAUUAUGCAUCUGCUGUUCAGGAAUAAAUUGGGCUCCAAUAGGCUGAUGUUGCCGAUUGAUAGGUGUUCUCUAUCCAACUAGUAUCGGCUGAACCGUCUGUUGCCCAAUCGGCUACACUACUUGCUGCCUGAUUGGUGUUGAGUGAACUGGCUCGAUAACCGGCUGAGGUAGCCUGAACAUUGCUGCAAUUUGCUCCUGAGUUAGCCGAUUGAUAUUUUGCCCAGCAUGCUGAGGUUGUUCUCUGGUCAACAAAUAAGGAUUAACCGUCUGCCUUUGUGCCGAUGAUGAUGCACAUGGUCCUGGAGCUGAAACCAAUGCCAUUGGCUGGCCUGGAGGUACAUUAGAAGCAUGCUGCUUGUUUCCGGUCACCAAAUUCCUGUAUGGUGGGAAUACACCUUCUGGCAGAAAAACUGGCCCCUUAUCUUGAUGCUCAGCAAUUAUGCCACCAACCACAGAUUUGAUCAUAUUUGUCAAAGUAUUGACAAGCACCCCUGAUUGGUUGAUUAGUGCUUGAUGAACAACAUAGUCAACCCGAUCCUGGAAUUUAUGAAUUCUAAGGUCUCAUGCUCCUUAGUUUCAUCUUCUUUAGGCUCCUCACCUUUGUCGCCUGCAUCACCUCCAUCACCUUUGUCACCUUUGGCUCCUUUAGCUUUGCCACCUUUAGAUGAGCUUGUUUCUGGUUCAUCGGCAGAAACUACCUUCAGCUUGUACUUCUGAAUAACUACUCCUGAGCGGGUCUGUUUGAAUGAAUCCAGGUACUUGUUCUUCACAUUGCUCAGCAUCUGCUCAAAUUCCUGCCUUUGUUCCGGUGUCAGCUUGUCUAGGGUGACUGGGAUGAUGUUUCCAUCGUCAACCUCAGAUGGUUGACCAGGCGCUUGUUUGGUAAACGGGGGCUUGGAACCUUGCUUGCCGUCCGACAUGAUGAAAAGCGUUCAACUCGUGUCCCACCGGGCAUGCCAAAAGUGUGUUGAUGCGGAAAACACACACUGGCCUGGAAGAUCUGCUUAACUACUGUGCAGGUCCAAAAUCUUGCUUUUAGGUUCGUGAGCGUGCCAGUUGAUUUGAUCCUGCAAUCAACAAGAAGAAAAGACAAGAAAACACGGUUAAAUCCAUAAACAAUAGCCGAUCGGCUAGUUGCCGAUGAUGUAUCAUUUAUCUUCGAGCCGAUGUCAUGUUGGAAUCGAUCGGCAGUAAUGAAUGAAUAAAAUAAGACUAAAUCUACUCGAUCGGCUGUAGAUAUUAACGACAUAUAAUCUUUCCUUCGAUGUAUAUUUAAACUAAGUGAUUGGGAUAGAUCGGUCGCCAUGCCGAGAUAGUAUAAAUCACUUAAGUCGAAAGAUACAUUAAAGCAAUGAUUAUAUAUACGUUUAUAGCAUAGCCGAUCAGAUAGGUCUAGCAUGUAUCGGCUAAUACUCCGAUACCACUUUAUACUAAGAUAUUAAAACAAGCAAAAUAUAUCAAACAAAAAGCCUAAUAUACUCUAAUGCAAUAAGAUCUUAAUAUAAAGGGCAUAUUUAGCAUGAAGGUCAUGCAUAUAAGGUAUAAGAUAGCUAAACCAGAUAAGAUCGGCUGAAACCCCGAUGCUAUCUUUCUCGACAAUCAUAAAGCAAGCCAGAUAUCACAAUUAUAGAUAAUAGAUCAAACUCAACCGAUGCAGCAUUAAGCAUAAAGAUAACUGUAAGAUCUAAACAAGAUGAUGAAAAUCUCUAAGAGAUGAUAGAUAAACAAUAUAAUCUAGAUUAAUAACGAUAUCUAACUCUAUCGGCUACUUUCUAACAGUAAAAACCAGCCGAUUGUAAGUUACAUAGCGCAACUAAUAAAGAUUAUGAAGUAUAUAUGGUAACUCGACGAAUUACAUAAACAAGAUUAGAGUGUCAUAAAGAUGGAAGCACUAAUCUCGAGAACGCAAACCGCCAUGACAAGUUUACCUCUAGUUGAAGAUCGAAACCGAUGCAGCUCAACCCGAAAGCAAGAACUUGUCAAAAUAGAACGAAAGUAAAAGGGGUGGCGAUGCUCCGAAAGUGUUAUUGAACUGUUGUUGUUGAUUACAUGGGUUCGGUUUAUAUUUAUACCCGAGAUACAUGAUAUGUCCUUGCUGGACACGACUAUCAUCUCUAACAAACUCUAAGAUACACAUAAGUCUUUACGACAGACUCUUGCCCAAGCAUAUCUCUAAGGAAAUUACAAAAUAUCCUAAUUAAUAGAUACAAUUGCCUAUCCGAGAGCUUAUCUCCGUAGUGGCAAUCCUUGUGUAGCACGUUCAUCGAUUCUAGAAGCAGUUUUACAACUGUCCUUAACAGAAUCGGCUGUAUCGGCUGUCCUCUGUGUGCUCCAUCUCAGCCGAUGCAAAUCCCAGCCGAUGCCUUCGCAGCCGAUGCAUACUCUGUUCUUCGAAUCUAGCUCUUUGCCGAAUCCACUUUGAUUCCAAUGCCGAACCUGGUUCAUACCUUACCAAAUUUGGUCGUUAACAACGGCACACAUUCAAAAAGCAAUCUCUUGAUUCCUCAUUUGUAUUAUUCUCUAAAUUAGUAGAGUUUAGGCUUAGAAUAGUUCUUCGGUUUCCUAGUCUUCUUGAAGAUUCGGGUAUGUCUUUAAUACUUUACUCUCUUUGUAAGACUAUGAACUUAGUAAUGAAAUUACCUUCUGUAUUCAUUUGUGUUCGUAGUUUAUAUAUUGCUUUAUCAAUUAUGACUAGUUUAUACCUGUUUCAUAAACUAUAUAUGUUUAGACUAGUUGAUCUAUUCCACGACAUCGGUCCAAUCAUACUAACUGGUUGCACAAGUUAUUACUUGUCCAUUCGAAGGGUGGGAGUCCCGCAGGAAUUAGUGUAUUAAUUUGCAAUGUAAGCAUGGUGCUUAGAUUGAUAAAUCGUUGGAUGCGAGUAUACCCCAUAGAAAUGUAGAGGUAGGCGACAAGUGGUGAUAGCCUUGUCUGUCCUUUAUUGUCCUCCACGUUUGUAUAUGAUGUAAGAGUUCAUAAAAUAGCCAUCAAAAACCACACUAGCAGACCAGCAUGGAGUGGUCUCUCGGUAGUGCCUAUGUACCUAGAAAUAAGUCCUAGCCAUGUAUAUGUAUAUGAAUGUUAUAUCGACUAAACAUGACAAAGAUAGAAGUACAUAUGAAACCAUAACUUUCUUCUGUCUUUCUUCACUAGCUAGCUAGUUUAUUUAUUGAGAUGAUUCUUAUGUGCGUCACACUUUCAUAUUAUUAUCAUUAUGAUUUACUCAUGUUAGAUUAUGGUAUAUUAAUAGCAUGAUUAUGAAUAUAUCGAUCCAUUCUUUACACCGUCGUCUUCCUUAUGGAGAAGGAAUAAUGAUACCCUUUUUUUUGCGGGGAAAUAACGAUACCCUUGGAAUACUUCCUGAUGAAAUACUAUAGCGGUAUCCACACACUUGCGAAUUUAUCUGUGAUCGUAUUGAAUACCAACACAUGUGCCUCCGAAAGGGAAGAGGUCAUUGAGUGCAAGCCAAGCUUUUUCUUGGUGGUUUCUUGGCAAAGCAAGCUUCACCAAAGGAAACUGCAUGAUGUCUAAUCUUAGGACCGAGUGGAUUACUUGGAGCACAAACUCGCCCUAGGUGGUUGCUUGAAGAGUCCAAUGCACCAUCAGAGGUUGCUUGAAGAGGAAAAAGGUUAAAAGAGACCGGACUUUUCCUUCUUUUUUUCCAUGAUUGAACGACUAACGCACACUCACACACACCAUUACACAAGCUACACAAGCAACACCACACUCACACCCCACGAAUGCCCCUGUUUAACACACGCUCUAAAAGACGGAAACCAUCAACAGAUCCUUGAUCUCACUAAAAUCCUGUUGGAAGCUCACCUGCAUGUCAAUAAUAUUCAUGGGCACCAGGAUUUGAACCCUAGUGAGGGGAGUCAUGCACCCUCAACUCCCUCACCACACCAUCGGUGUUUCCCUAAAAGAAAUCUGGCUUUUCAAAGCCCAUCAACAAAGACGUAGGAUUGCUUAAUCCAAACUUCGGUGUCUACCUUGUACUAGUUGUGUUGCUUGCAUGCAAGUUUAGUUCUAUCCUCAACUAGCUAGAUUGUGUAGGAAGUGUGCUUGAGUAGCUCCUCUAGUUUGUAUCUUGGUAAAUUUCUUGUUAAAUUCUCCAUGUGUGUCGGAUUAUCCUACCACAGUCAGACAAUCCGAGACUCUUAGAGCUUUAUUGUUUUUCACACUAACUGGAUUAUCCGCCACGGUCCCGGAAUGUCCGACUACUCUAUUGUCAGAUUGUUCGACCUGGUACAAGAUUGUCUGGUUAGCAAGUUUUUGCUGCAAGUUUUUGAAUUUUGAGGAAACGCCCAUUCACCACUAUAUAGGUCACAUAUCCGAUCCUCAAGACCCUUUUAGGCGACAUGUCCAUCGAAAAUGAGUCACCUAUGUUGACUUCUUCAAUCUUAAGAUAUAUUGGUCCAGUCUUCAGAGGUGCUCAUAAGAAUAGGAUUUGCGUAUGUGCAUUAAUAUGGGUAAGUGUGGACACGUUUAUAUGAGCGUCUACGUUAAUACUGUGUUUUAAAAAAAAUAAAUCUCUAGAAUAUAUAUAUGACUUCAAUAGUUGUAAUAUGAACAAGAAAAGCCCAUGCAAUGCGUACUAUUUGAUGAUUAAUUUCUGCAAUGCUCUUGGCUCUGUAUUUUAGCUUUUUAAUUAGAUUAUUAGUGUGGAUUAUGUGCUAAGAGCCUGAAAAAUAUAUCUUAUCUCUAAGCUGUCUGUUAAUUUUAUGCCCUAAAAUAUCUAAUUUGCAUGUAUAAUUGUGUAGAUAAUCCACUAUAUAAAAUCAAAGAGUGUUUGAUUGUUAUUUUGUGAAGAACAAUUGGCAUUUGAGAUUAUUGGUUUUGAUAUUUGGAGAUUAUUGGCGAAGUGGUUUUGAAGAUGAUGGGAAUUUUCAAAUGAUCAACAAGAAUUGCUGACAGAGUGGUCCGGUCAGACCGGGCUGUGGUAGCGAGUCAGUCUGUGGAAUGUGUGCGGUCAGACUGGCUGACGAUGUGUCAGUUUCUAGUUGAUUCUUUCGAUAUCAGUGGAUAAUUUAUGUUUAUGGCUUCUAAAUGGAUACUAUGCUUAUGUAAUACUGUUGUUUACUUACAAUGAGUCAAGUUGGUGAAAACUUGUCCUCGGGUAUGGUUUCUUGAUUAAUGCAUGUGUAGGUGAUUCUUAAUGCCUCGGGAGAGUGUUGUCGGUGAUGGAUCGGGAGUCAACUUGAGAGAAGAUGGCCUCCGGACGAUUAGGAUAUCAUGCGGAAUGCUUAGGCUAAAUAUCAAUGCACGUGGUUGGUGAAGAUUCCAUAUGGCAUACGAUGGAGAUAUUGUGUGCGUAUGGGAUGCGGAGUCGAAUUUGGAGGGAGUCAAAUUUGGUAUAAUUGGAGUUUGUAAAGUUCGUUUCUUGUAAGGGAAGGUUUUCUAGGAGAUUAAGACUUCUUGUACAAGGUUGGUUCGUGGCUUUAAGCUGCCUACCUCGAGUAUAAAUAGAGAGGGAGGGUGUGAUUUUCCGGUAUCGUUUUUGAGAGAGUUGAGUCCAGAGAAAAGUUAAGUGUUUCGAGUUUAGUCGAGAUUUUCGUGAGGAGUGAUGUUGUUGCACUUUGAGAGAAAAGUAAUAAAGUUUCAAUCUACUUUGAGAGAUCUUUGAUUUGUGUUUGCUUGGGUUCGGCGGUUCAACCAGUGGGACACCGACGGUCAGACUGACGGCAUCAGGGCGGUCAGAUCGGCGGCGGUGACAGACGACAGUAGCGCAUCGGGCGGUCAGAACGAAGCAACUCCACCAAUCAGACCGGUGGUAAUCGAGAGUUCAGACCAGCGUGUCUUCUCCGAUUAGACAGACCGCCAUCGAAUUUGAUAGUAACUUUGAAUUCCGCUAAUGUUUUGGGUUUUGGGUACUACAAUCAUUCACCCCCUCUAGUUGGCUUAAUUCUUGCUAUUCGAUUCUACACACUAUAAUAAUCUGGUCAAUAAUAUGUUUUCAACUAUGCCUAAUACUCUUGCUGGGUCGGUUGCAACUAAUCGAUCAGAUUAUCACAAUUCAUCAAAUGACCUCGGACAUUCGAGAGUUACUAGCCUUGCGCUCCACUUCACUAUAUACUCCACUUGUGUUGCUACAACUUUACUAAGCUAGCUCAGCAGCUAGUACAACUGAACGUUUAGUCGUUUACUAUCCUCCUCCAACGUACGGGCACCAUGCUCAACCUCCUCCUCCUCCUCGUGCUAGCCACCACCUCAUGGUCACCGGCGGCGAGCGGCCAGGACACCUCCUCCGCCACGGUGAGCCCGCUGAACACGCACUGCAACGCGACCGCCGGCAACCACACGGCCGUGGGCAGCGCGUACCUCUCCAACCUGCGCGCCCUCGGAGGCGCGCUCUCCAGGCGCGCCCUCGCCACCGGCUUCGCGUCGGGGAGCUACGGCGCGGCGCCCGACGAGGUGCACGGCCUGGUGCUCUGCCGGGGCGACUUCACCGGCGGCAACUGCACCGACGGCCUCGCGUCGGCGUUCCGCGACGCCGCGGCGCAGUUCUGCCCGGGCGCCGCGGACGCCACCGUCUACUACGACCAGUACAUGAUCCGCUACACCAACGACGGCCGCCUCCUCUCCGACCCCGGCGACAACGAGCCGCUCUGGUCGGGCAAGAACAUGAACGAGGUCGCCGGUGCCGACGCGGCGGCGCGGUUCAUGGCGAAGGCCACGGAGCUGAUGAACAGGACGGCCGACCUCGCCGCCUUCGGGUCGUCGUCGUCGCCGAGCCGGUACGCCACGGGGGAGACGUGGUUCGACGAGCAGGGGGUGAGCGUGGUGUACGGGCUGGUGCAGUGCACGCCGGACCUCACCGGCGAGCAGUGCCGGAGCUGCCUCGCCGGCAUCAUCGCGCAGAUGCCGAAGCUGUUCGGCGACGCUUCGUCACGGCCGGUCGGUGGGAGGAUCCUCGGAGUCCGGUGUAACCUCCGUUACGAGAAGGAUGUCUUCUUCAAGGAGACCAGCACCACUAUCAAGCUCAACAUGCCCAAAAGUAUGUCGUCUUCUCGUUGAUUUCAAUUCAUAUAUGCACUAGCUCCUUGCAUGAGCAUGUCCUUGCAAGAUUAACUACAGCAAUUUAAUCAUAUUUUCAGACAACCAUGCAUACAUAAUUGCAUAUAUAUCACCUGAUUAAUGUAUGUAAUCUAAUCCAAUAUAUCUAUAAAAUUCGUCCCUACUAAAUUUUAAGUGUUGUUAAUAUUAUUUAUCUCUUCUCUAAUUAAAUUAAGUCACAUCAUCUCAAUUCAUAGCUCUUGAAUGAUUAACUUAUGGUCUAAAUUAUCUUUCUCAUUUUCUUCUCUUAUAAAGUCAUAUCAUAUUUGUUUGCACACUUAUCUCUUUUUCAUCUAGCUAGUAUCUUUUAAUUGCACACUUACUUGCAUCUAGAGGGACUGAGCACGAUGCUGAAGAUCGUCAUAUUUGGCGUGCCGUGCUUGGUACUGAUCAUAUCCGUGGUGCUGCUCAGGCCUUACAUCGUCAAGGAGAUAAGAGGCGAGUUAACUAAAAUUUCUUUGACUGUUGACCGAUAUGUUGUUUUCUUGCUCUCUAGUUAAUAUAUAUAUAUACACAAGAUUAUGGUCAAUACUGUAUUCUUCAUUGUCACUUCAUAUUGAUUUUUGCUUACAAUUUGAUCUGUGGCAACGACAGAGUUAUUGUUGCAGAGGGAUCUAGUCAUAUUGGAAAGGGAAAUCGUGAGUGAAAGCGAUGAAAGAUUUUCACUGUUCAAGUUUUCUAAGAUAAAAGAUGCCACGGACAAUUUCUCCAGGGAAAAUAAGCUAGGAGAAGGUGGAUUUGGUCAUGUUUACAAGGUAAAUGCGUAUUCUCUAAAUAUAGUAUAAGUACUUCUGUUCCAAAAUAUAACGGAUUUUAGUUAUGCAUUUAGAGUCUGGACAAAUAAUUGAUCACCAAUAAUCCUCUAACAUGCAACUAUAUAAAUAUAUAUCUAUGUUUCAUCAUCAGGGCCGUUUGACUACGAACCAAGACAUUGCAGUGAAAAGACUUGCCCCAAAUUCUGCACAGGGAUUCAAGGAGUUCAAAAACGAAAUUAAACUCAUAGCAUGCCUUCAGCAUAGGAAUCUUGUUAGGCUCCUUGGGUGCUGCAUCAAAAGCAAGGAGAGGAUAUUAGUCUAUGAAUAUAUGCCUAAUGGAAGCUUGGAUGGCCUAAUUUUCGGUAUGCCUCUAACCCUUCAGCAAGAAAGCACGUUUUAUUAAUUUUUCACUCGCACUAGCUACAAAGUAAUAUUUGUAUAUAUUCUCAAAUUAUUUUGGUUCAUUAAUUAAUUGUAUUUACUAUUGUGAAAAAAUAUGACAGGAGAGGAAGAAGUGAAACCAAACUGGCAUGUGCGUCGGCACAUAAUUGAAGGGAUAGCAGAAGGUCUACUCUAUAUACAUGACUAUGCACAUGCAUGUAUAGUCCACAGAGACCUGAAACCUAGCAACAUACUGCUAGAUCAUGAAAUGAAUCCCAAAAUUUCAGAUUUUGGUAUUGCUAGGAUUUGCCUCUCCAGUGUGACAGAAUCAAAUACGACAACAGCAAUAGGAACAUUGUAAGUAUAUCUACCCUUUAAUUUUAUGUGAGGCACUUCCCUAUCAUUUUAGGAUUUGUAGUUUUCUAGCUCGCUAGUCUUCAAUCUGCUGAGAAGUUUGUACUUACACAUUAAUGAACAUUUUCCUUUGAAGCCAUGAUAGUAUAUAUAGCUAGAAUACUCACCAUUGUUUUACAACAUGUAGAUUCCACAUUAAAUUUGUAUAUUUUAGUACAAACUAGCAUGGUGGUCUGCGCAGAUUACUCGGUUAGCAUCAUUAUAUUUUCUCUCAUAUAAUAGCAUAUAUAUUUUCUCAAUGUAUUAUUCAAAUAUAUUAAAAUGGCAACAUAAUUUUAAAUUUUGUACUAACUUUACAAAACUACUAAUGUGUAAUAUUUAUAUUCUAUUUUAUAUACGUGUUAGUUAUUAAUUAUUUUUAAUAUCAAAUUUUAGUUAUUUCUAAAUUAUAUUCCUAUAUAGACUCUAGACUCGUAUUUCAAUAUUUCUUUUUUUAAUUCCGAAUUUUCGUUAUCUGUAAAUUGUAUUUCUAUAUAGACUUUAGGCUCUUCUUCCAAUAUUAUUUAUUUUUAAUUCUGAAUUUUUAUUUUUUCUAAUUGUAUUUCUAUGUGGACUCUAAAGUCAUCCUUCAAUAUUCUUUAAUUUUUAAUUUUGAAUUUCAGUUACUUUUAAAUUGCAUUCAUAUAUUGACUUUAGACUCUUCUUUCCAUAUUUUUUUAUUUCUAAUUUUAGUUAUUUGUAAAUUGUAUUUUUAUAUGAACUCUAAACUUUACUUUUAAUAUUACUAGAAAAAUACCCGUGCGUUGUAACGGGUGAAGUCUAUGUUAAUCUUAUUAGUGUUAUAUGGUUUAGUUAAGAUGAAAUUCACUGUGGGAGUUCGCUUGGAUAUAUAUAUAUUUAGAAAAUCAUGAGCUGCGGUUAGGAGUCCGAUCGUCUCAAGUUAGCAUGCGAGCUUUUUUAAACAUAUUUCUUAUAUGAUUCCUUAUGUAUUACCAAAAGUGAACGAUUUUAAAAACCGGCUCAAAUACAAAUAUGUAUUUCCAAAAGCAAACGAACUUAGAAACCAACUCAUACACGGAUGACGUACCAAAAUACCGAAAAAAACAUCUUCAAUUUUUACAAUAUUAGAGAUUAUGUUUAUUCCGAAUUUUAGUUAGUUUUAAAUUCCUAUAUGGACUCUAUACUCUACUUCUAAUAUUCCUUAGUUUUAAUUCCUAAUUUCUAUUAUUUCUUAAUUAUAUUUCUAUAUGGACUCUAUACUCUUCUUCUAAUAUUUUUUAUUUUUAAUUCUGAAUAUCAGUUAUUUAUAAAUUGUAUUUCUAUAUGGACUUUAGUCUCCUCUUCCAAUAUUCCUUAUUUUUUAAUUCCGAAUUUCAACUAUUUCUAAAUUGUAUUUCUAUAUGGACUCUGUUUUUCUUUUUCUCCGAUUAAUAUGAGAAUUUCUAAGCCAUGAGAGCGAACGUGGAGGCUCCUUUUUCUAUUUCUUUAAUAAGUUAAUAGAUUACACUAAGGUCGAUCUUAAAUCAUCUCAUAGAGUAUAUAUAUAUAUAUAUAUAUAUAUAUAUAUAUAUAUAUAGACACACUCAAGAAGUGAUAUUUAGUAUUACAAAAUGCAUGUGGAAUACUAGGUAGAAUUGACUAGUGUAAGGAAUCUUCACCCCUCCUAUUCUAUAAUCAUGACAAAUCCUUAUCACUUGUCAAGAUCUAUGUGGACUUAUUCAAACAAGUGAUAUACUCAGGUUAAAUGACUAAUUUUACCAUUCUCGAGAAAAUAUUGGAAGGUAUCUGUAGCGCCCGUUCCGUCGUGGCGCCUAGCGGAAAAAUUAUCUCUUAAAAACCCUAAUUGCGAAAUUUGUUUCUUUGCUUGUUAUCUAGUGACCGUACCAUCUCAGAUCUCAAAUCCCCGAUCUAUCGUCGAGUUCAAUUCCGAAUCCAAAUCCUUCCAAAUCAAUUCCUCCGCAAAAGUCUAUUUUGCCUCCCCCGGGUUCGAUGGGCCGAAUCUCUCUCGGCCCAUCUUCCCCUCCCCUCCCCGGCGCCCUCUCUCUCUCUCUCUCUCUCUCUCCCUCCGCUCCGCUCCGCCCGCGCGCCGCGUGCGCGCGAGCGCGUGAGCCGCGCCGAGCGCCCCUCCUCCGCUCCCUCCGCCCUGCCCGCGCGUGUGUGAGCCGCCGCGCCGAGCGCCUCCCUCCCCCUCCGCUCUACGCGCGCGCGUGUGCGUGAGCCGCCCGCGCCGAGCCGAGCCGUCCUUUUCGCUCCCUCGCUGCCGCUCCCCGCGCGUCGUUCGCGCGCGCGCCCGCGUGGUCGUCGCCCUCGUCGCGUCUGCGCCGCCCGGCCCCGCUGCCCUGCCGCGCCUGCAACCGCGCAGCCGCUCGGCCCCGCAAGCCAACGCGCGUGCCCGAGCCGCGCCGCCCGUUGUUUCCCGCGCGCGCGUGCCGUGGUGGCCGACCGCCUGGUCGCCGCCGCCGUCAGCCUCUGCCGCGCCUGCCGCCCGUGUCGCCGCUCCGCUCCAAACCGCCCCGCCGUCAUCGCCGUCGUCAUCGCCCGGCCCCCGCUACUCCGCGCGCAAGCUGCCAAGGGACGGAGGCAGAGCCCCUCCCCUCCCUCUGCCGCGUCGCCCCCGCUCCCCUCAUCCUUUUCCCAAAGAAGCAAAGGGUGAGCUCCCCUUUCUCUCCCUCCUUUUUCCCUUUUUCCCUCUCGCCGGCGUCACCUCCUAUCGCCGUUUUGGCCGCUAGCCGGAGCGCCAGCUCGUUGGCUUGACCGUCCAAUGUCGGUUCCCCUCUCCCAAACCGACAUUGCCGCCCCUAUAAACCAAGGCGCCCUCCCAUCGAUUCCCCCCCCCGUUUCGCUCAUCGCCUCCGUGCCAUUGCCGCCGCCUUCCGUGCUCCGUCUCGCCUCCGCCGUUCAUCGCCAAGCGUCGGGAGAGCCGGUGCGUUCGUGGACGCGGAAGGGGACUCCGGGCGCGCCCUCUCCUUCCUCUUCCCCGGCCCGAGGCCGGAGAGAUUACUCCCGCGCCGUCGGCCUCUCGUCACUGCGCCCCGUCUCGCACGGUAGUGCAUCUCCCCGUUCUCCCUCCUCGUUCCAUCUCUCCCCCUUAGUUUUCGGUAGUAGCUCGAGUAGCCUCCCCGUAGCUAGCCGGCGCCGCCCCGACCGUUGCCAUCGCUCGCCGUGUGCUCGCCGCCGUCGCCGCCCGUGCUCCGUAGCACCCGCUCGUCGCCGGCCUCGCUCGGCGUAGCUCCGCCCAAUCCGACGCUAGCAGCGGAUUCCCGCGGCCGCGUAGAUGCUCUCGCCGCCGGGAAUUGGCCCCUCGUGACCUCGUCGCCUUUUCCCCCUUCUUCCGCCGCCGCUUGCCGCCGCCGCAAUUCGUCGCCGUCAAGCUCCCUCCGGCGAAUCCGAGCCGUUGGCUCGUCUCCCCUUGUCCUGUGCAAACACCCGGUGUGCUCGCUUUCGCCUGUAUCGCCGUGGUUCGCUCCGCCGCUCGCCGCUGUCGUCCGCCGUCCGUUCCGGCCGGCGUCGUCGUCUACCUCCCGCUGGCCCGUGUGGCUGCCACGUAGGCGCCACCUCGGCGCCACCUCGGCCGCGACCGGAUCAGCUGACCCAGCCAGCUGCUCCCUCCGUUUUUCCUCCCGUGCGCAUGGUCCGCGGUGAGCCGUGAGGCUGCGCGUGGGCCCGCCGCAUCCGUUCCUGCGCGAACCACGCGCGUGCACCGCGUCCCAACCCCGCCCGCGCGCGUGCGCCACGUGCUCCCUCCGCACGGUGAGCCGAGCCGCUGACUAGCGGGUCCCACCCGGGACCGCGCGUGGUGAGCCCGGUCCACCGACCCCCUCUCUCCUCCCCUCCCGCGUGCGCUCUGGGCCGCCUUUUGGGCCGGCCGGCCCAUUAAGACUCGGCUGAGCCGCCCCAAAUCUCUUGGGCCGCACCCUAGCCGCCCGAGAAAAGUCUAUAUUCCCUCCCUCCUUUCUUUUCUUUUUUUUCUUUUCCAAAAAGGAUUUAAUUAAAUCCUUUUCCUUUAGACCAAAAAUCCAAUAAUCUUAGAAAUUCAAUAUCUUCCCAACCGUAAGUCCGUUUGACUCCGUUCAACUUCCAAAAUUUCUCAAAUCUCGAGAUCUAUCUAAUGGCAUGCUUAGAGGUCAUUAAUAGGGCUUUAUUUUCGCCGUUUGUUGAGUUGUCCCGUUUCACGUGUAGUUUCGGAGCCCGAAGUCCCGCAGUGCGAGGAUUUCGAGGAUCAAGCUCCAGAUCUCGAGCAAGGCAAGCCACCUUUGAACAUCUUGAGCCUAUAUUUGAAAUUUAAUUAUGUUGCUUGAAAAAUAUUAUGCAUUGUUAGGAUCGCACUUAAUCUGUUUGCCCCGUCUGCGAGGCAGAUUAGUGGGCAUACCUAAUUUGUUGCAUUUGAUCCUUCCUUUGUUAAUUGUUAUAUCAUGUCCCCCUUGUAUCCAUCUAGUUGCGUCUCGAUAUUCUUGCACCCAGUGCGAGUAUCGAUGGACGCCUUCAAACUUAAUAUUUGAAUAACAACUUGGGUAAAACUUGGGUUUUACAAAGACUUGGAAAACCCGACACCUGGGUCGGUGCUUGUGAACUAAAUGAAUUUCCAAAACCGCGGACCGGGGAACGUACCGGGUGUACGGUUUCCCGCUCUCGCACUUAAGGACCGUUUCCUUGGAAUUUCAUCCAAACAUAAGACAAGUACGACCACAUGGGUGGAAUGGGACACCCCUGGCUGAGUAACUAGCUUAUCAGGGGAGCCUUGAUGCCGAGAGACAUGUGGAUUCGCUGGGGUGGUGUCGGGGAGGACCCCCGGGCUUCCUGGCACAGUAUGGUCUGGGACCUAACCUGUUGUUGGUCUGGGACCCCUCUUGUCGGCAUAUGGUAAACCUGUGUCGGCUUUCGAAAUGCCUUGUCAUGAAAGUUUGGAGGUCUCCCGACGUGGCUGAUCCCCACGGGCUGGGUGAUCCAGGUUAGUAAUGUCGUGUGGGUAAAGUGUACUCCCUCUGCAGAGGUUAACAAACUGUUCGAACAGCCGUGCCCACGGUCAUGGGCGGAUGUGAGGUGAUUCCUAGCGUAGUUUUGUUUGACUACUGCUUGUGAAAUUACUGUUGUGGAAAGGGGUUCGAUGUUUGAAAAAUCUGCAGCUGAUGGGAUCAGCUAGGCCCGGGUGGCCGUUUGAAAGUUGUUGGCCCGGGUGGCCGUUUGAAAAGUUGUUGGCCCGGGUGGCCGUUUGAAAAGCUAUUGGCCGGGUGCCAACCCUGUUUCAAUUCUAAAGACUGAUACAUUACACAUACUCCGACCGGACGAGACGCACUGUCUCAUCCGUGUCGUUUGAGAAGCACUCACUUAGUUGUUUUUAGAAAAGAGUUCAAAUAAAAUCAAUUGCAAAAAAAAAUAUAGCAGCCUUUCCUUGAAGCCUGCAUUAAACACUUAUUUCCCAUGGCUUGCUGAGUACUCCCGUACUCACCCUUGCUCUAUAUAAAUAAUUCCCCCCCCCCCAAGUUGCUGAAGAAGAUGAAGCGGAUACUGCUGAUGAGGAGUUCUUCCAGGAGCAAGCCGGCUACGAUGAGUUUUAGGGUUUCGGCCUAGUUCCCAAGUCGCGCCUGUGUCGUUUGGUCCAAGUCCUGGCUUCCGUUUCCCUUCUGUAAUGCAGUUGUGAGCUCGGGAUCUGUCCGCAGCCCAACAUGACUGUACCUCUACUCUAUAAUAAAGAGACCUCUGUUGCUGUGAUAUUCUGUCUUCCUGUGAUACCAGCACUGUUUCCUGGGACUGGUAUCGAUUAACAGGUUAAUUUGGAACGUCACGGGCUAGUUCCGGUCGGGGCUAGUUUGGGGCGUGACAAGAGAUGGUAUCAGAGCACAGGCUUGGCCCUAGGGCGAAACCCGACGUUUAGGACGACCCUAAGGAUACUAAGUUCAAAACUACUUGCGAAAAGCUAAGGUUUCUUUUGUUUUCUUUAUUUCCAAUAGUUUGUUUCUAAAAUGGUUACUGAUCUUUUCUCCCUCUUUCAAAAUUGUAGAUGGCAGUGAACGCCAGCUUCAGUUCCCACGGUUUCGGUGAGGGUCACCACGUCGCUCAGCUUCGUGACCUCGCCCGUUUCCUUGGCUUCUCGUGUCCCGAGUACACGGGGUACUCCGUGGACCGUGUUCCCCCUCACUGUGAGCUCUCUGUGUACCUUUACCCUCGUGGAGGUAUACACGGAGCUGGCCUUCGCCCACACCACUUCACCGUGGCCAGGCCCACUCUCCAGAUCGCGUACCAGGACCUCUCCUGGACUGCGCUUCGUCGCUUGGCCCACGACUACAGCCACCGUCUCGGAGGCUCCGCCUUCCGGCAGCUUCCACGCCUUCCUUCUGGCCACGCAGACGCCAGGUACCCUUGUCCGUACAGCGAGUCUCAGCCAGUGCUGACUCGCAUGGUUGAGCUUUCGGAGGCUCAGGCCACUCAGCACGACCUACUCCUUGAGGCUUACCGCUCCCUUGCCCGUCGCUACGCCGCUUUGGAGGCCCGUCUGGCCGAGGAGGGUGUCACCUCAGUUGACACUAUCUCUUGGGACUCAGGUCGCCUCUGCCGCGCCAGCCACCUGUCCUCCCACAGCUCCAGCGGCUCUGCCCGCACUCCCAGUGGCCCGCGCUCCCCCAGCUCGCGUGCGCCGUACUCACCAGUGUACUCCCCCUACCCACACCCAGUUAGCCCCUCCUACACCCCCGGACACACCCCAGUUGCUUCCUCCCGCCGUGGCCCACGCUUUAUCCGCACUGCGCGGAAGCGUGUUGUUGGUUCUUCCACCGUGUUCCGUUUCCACUACCCAGCUCCCCCACCGCCAGCGCCCCGUGCUGCUGCCGGCCCUCGACAGGUUCCGCCGGUCCCUUCGCGUCAGCCGAUCGAUGUUUCUUCGACUGAGGAGCCGACUACAGGAGGCAGCCAGGCCGACGAGGAGUAGAGGAGGCAGUCUUCAGCAGCCGUCCGUGUGUUAGGCCCUUUUGUUCCGCCGCCAACUCUUUUGGAGUCGUGGUGAGGUAGUGUGUGCGUGUGUUUGUUGUGGGUGUUGUUUGGUAGUCUGGUUCUCCUAGGUGGUGUGCGCACAGUCAAGCUCGGCGUAGCUCUGUGACUUGUACACACCCGUUGUAUCAGGUGUUUUUAUGAUUUGAAAAAUCCAGUUUAUGCCUAGUGUGUGCUAUCUGAGUUGCUAUUUACUUUGCUCCUUGCCCUCCUAAGUGCUUAUCUGACUCUUACCCCGCCCUUUUCUGGGAGUUUAGAUGGCUAGCCACCCCCGCCGUGCAGCUCGUGCACCAGCCCGCUUUGGUUUUGAAGAUGGUAGAGUCGAGCCAGAAGCAAAUCAUGAGUCAGCUAAUGAGCAGUCUCACCACAGCAACCGUUCGCACCGUACUGCUUCCCGCAACGCAGAAGUUGAGCAACCCCGCCGCAGCCACCGCUCGCAUCACACAGCUUCCCGUAAUACAGAAAUGGAACAGUCUCACCGCUCUCACCGCACUGCUAGUCACAAUUCUGGAGAAGAACGCCUCCCUUCCCCACCUCAUGUGGAAAACAACAUGCAGCACCUGAUGGCAGUUCAGACACAAAUCUUGCAAGGAUUAGCCGCAGCCGUAGCCGGUUUUCAGCAUAAUGCGCAGGGAAAUGGCCACCCUCACAUGAACAACAAUAGAUCCAAGCUGACAGAUUUUCUGAGGUCUCGUCCGCCAGAAUUCUCUCAGACCGUCGAGCCCGUCGAGGCUGACGAUUGGCUGAAAGAUGUUGAUAGAAAACUCAACUUAGUGCAGUGUACUCCUGUUGAGAAGACGCUCUACGCCUCUCACUAGCUAAGAGGACCUGCUGUAGAUUGGUGGGAGAAUUACUGCAAUGCACACCCUGAACCCACUAACAUUGCUUGGGAUGAGUUUGCUACGGCUUUCCGUGCAGCUCAUGUGCCUGAAAGCACCAUUGACAUGAAGAAAGAGGAAUUCAACAGACUUAAGCAAGGCAACAGCAAUGUCAAUGAGUACCUAAGUAUGUUCAACAAGUUGGCUCGGUACGCUCCGGAAGAAGUGGACACAGACAAAAAGAAGAUCAGGAAGUUCUUGAAGGGAAUCGCAGUCGGAAUGAGACUCCAGUUGCUUGCUCCUGACUUCCCCACCUUUCAACAUAUGAUCAACAAGGCACUUCUACUUGAGGAUGCCAGAAAAGAGGCUACCAAAGAAUACAAGAAACGCAAGUCUAACCAUCAGGGAAAUUCUUCCCGAGGCGCACCUCGCCCUCGCUACGGUCAACCCAUGCAAUACCACCAGUCGGUCACUCAGGCUAACCGCCAGCCAGGCUACACCCCUCGUCCUCAGAUGAACCGUCCGGCACCUCAGCCACAGCAGCGUGCCCCUAGUGGCAAUCCUGCGCCAAACAGUGUUACCUCUUUCAAGUCACCGCAGGGACCGUCAGCAGUUCAGUGUUUCCGGUGCAACCAGAUGGGUCACUAUGCCAGACAGUGCCCCCAGAAUCCUAUCAACACCAACUCAGGGCAUGCUAAUGGCAGCACUGCCAGGACUUCUACUCCAGCGGCAGCUCAGUCUCGUCCUAGCUCUCAGGCAAGUGGACAAGGUUCACGUGCUUCCAACAACUUUGGUCGAGGUCGGGUGAACCACAUUCAAGCUGAAACCGCUCAGGAUGCUCCAGACGUUGUGAUGGGUAUGUUCUUUGUCAACUCCAUACCCACAAUAGUUCUGUUUGAUUCGGGAGCUUCCCAUUCCUUCAUAUCACAAGCUUUUGUAAAAAGAAAUGGUUGGAAAACCCAAAAUUUGCGUGUGCCAAUGAUAGUACAUUCCCCUGGAAGGAAUAUAAGGGCAACUCAAAUAUGCCCGGAAGUUAACCUUAGAAUUGAGGAGGUUGACUUCCUAGCCAAACCAAUAGUCCUAGACUCGCAAAGCUUGGACAUCAUCCUAGGGAUGGAUUGGUUGGCUAAGCACAAAGGACAGAUAGAUUGUGCCGAAAAAUCCAUCACCUUGCAAGGACCUGGAGGAAAGCAAGUCCGCUUUACCUCUAACACCCCUACCGCAAGUCGGUCUAUUCUAACCUGCUUACAAGUCACCACCUUGGAGUCGGUGCCUAUAGUCUGUGAAUAUCCCGACGUAUUUCCGGAAGAAUUAACGGGUAUGCCACCAGACAGAGAGGUUGAGUUUGCCAUAGAACUGGCGCCAGGCACCGCACCAAUCGCAAAAAGACCCUACCGAAUGGCAGCUAAUGAGUUAGCAGAAGUUAAAAGACAAACCGAAGAAUUGGAGAGUAAGGGUUAUGUGUGACCUAGCUCAUCCCCUUGGGGAGCCCCAGUGCUUCUGGUUAAGAAAAAGGAUGGCUCUGAGAGAACGGUAAUCGACUAUAGAGCCCUGAAUGAAGUAACCAUAAAGAACAAGUACCCGUUGCCAUGGAUUGACGAUUUGUUCGAUCAACUUAAAGGAGCAAGAGUUUUCUCAAAAAUUGACCUAAGAUCAGGUUACCACCAACUGAAAAUCAGAUAUGAAGAUAUCCCGAAGACCGCUUUCUCAACGCGUUAUGGUCUAUAUGAGUUCACAGUGAUGUCCUUCGGACUCACCAAUGCCCCAGCAUUCUUCAUGAACUUAAUGAACAAAAUCUUUAUGGAAUACCUGGACUAGUUUGUCGUGGUGUUCAUCGACAACAUCCUGAUAUACUCCAAGAAUGAGGAAGAACAUGCUGAACACCUGAGGAUGAUAAUUGAAAAGCUCAGGGAUCAUCAACUAUACGCUAAAUUCUUGAAAUGCGAAUUCUGGUUAGAUCGAGUAGCAUUUCUUGGACACGUGAUCUCCUCCAACGGUGUCGAAGUAGAUCCCAGCAAGGUUGAAGCUGUACUUGCUUGGAACCCGCCCAAGAAUGUGUCAGAAAUUCGCAGCUUCCUUGGCUUAGCUGGAUAUUAUCGAAGAUUCAUUGAAGGAUUCUCUAAGCUAGCCAGACCUAUGACCGAGCUGUUAAAGAAGGAAAAGAAAUUUCAAUGGACUGCAGCCUGUGAAGACAGCUUUCAAGAAAUGAAGAAAAGGUUGACCACUGCCCCAGUUCUCACCUUGCCAGAUAUCCAAAAAGAUUUCGAAAUCUUCUGUGAUGCAUCAAGACAAGGCUUAGGAUGUGUCCUAAUGCAAGAACGAAAGGUUGUGGCCUACGCAUCCAGGCAGCUCAGGCCUCAUGAAGUCAAUUAUCCCACCCAUGAUCUCGAGUUGGCAGCUGUGGUUCAUGCUCUUAAGAUCUGGAGACACUAUUUAAUCGGGAACAGAUGUGAAGUAUACACCGAUCACAAAAGUCUUAAGUACAUCUUUACUCAGACCGAGUUAAAUAUGAGGCAGAGAAGAUGGUUGGAACUAAUCAAGGAUUACGAUCUUGGAAUUCAUUACCACCCCGGUAAAGCUAACGUGGUCGCUGAUGCGCUAAGUCGCAAGGCCUAUUGCAAUAUAGCUCAAAUACGGCCUGACCAAGAUCGCCUGUGCAGAGAAAUGGAGAAGUUGAGGCUGACCGUGGUACAGUCAGGUGUCCCUGCCAGCUUGACAGUACAGCCUACCCUAGAGUCGCAAAUCCGGGAAGCUCAGAAAGAUGACGAAGGGAUAAGAGAGUUAAUAAAAAGAAUACAGGAGAAGAAAGACACCAAUUUCUCCAUAGACGAUCAAGGCACAGUUUGGUGCGGUCCCCGCAUCUGUGUACCGGCCAAGAAGGAGUUAAGAGAUCUCAUCCUAAAGGAAGCUCAUGAGUCCGCCUACUCCAUUCAUCUAGGAAGUACGAAGAUGUACCAAGAUAUCAAGGCAUACUUCUGGUGGGCUGGAAUGAAGCGAGAUGUCGCAGAAUACGUAGCCUUGUGCGACAUUUGCCAAAGAGUCAAGGCAGAACAUCAGAGGCCAGCUGGUCUGCUGCAACCCCUACCGAUUCCCGAGUGGAAAUGGGAAGAGAUCGGAAUGGAUUUUAUCACCGGUUUGCCAAGAACCCCUAGCGGGUACGACUCCAUCUGGGUAAUCGUGGACCGACUCACGAAAUCAGCUCAUUUCGUGCCAGUGAAAACCACCUUUGAUGGGAAGAAACUAGUAGAACUCUACAUGACCCAUGUCGUAUGUAGAUUUGGCUGUCCCAAGAAGAUUGUAUCAGAUCGAGGCACUCAGUUUACCUCAAGGUUCUGGAAGCAGUUGCAUGAAGCCCUUGGAACCGAUCUGAAUUUUAGUACGGCCUACCAUCCGCAGACCGAUGGACAGACAGAAAGGGUAAACCAAAUCCUAGAAGACAUGCUACGUGCGUGUGCCCUGGAUUUCGAAGGCACUUGGGAUCGUUGUUUGCCGUAUGCUGAGUUCUCGUACAACAACAGUUAUCAGGCCAGCAUUCAGAUGUCGCCGAAUGAGGCAAUGUUCGGAAGAAAGUGCCGCACUCCCUUGUGCUGGAAUGAGGUGGGCGAAGCGCUGGUAUUCGGUCCUGACAUACUGAAGGCAGCAGAAGAACAAGUUAAGCUGAUCCGAGAACGUUUGAAGACAGCACAGAACCGUCAGAAGAAUUACGCUGACAAUCGGAGGCGUGACCUUGAGUUCAAAAAGGGAGAUCAUGUGUACCUGCGGGUAUCACCCCUCCGUGGUAUGAGAAGGUUUGGGAUGUCCGGCAAGUUAGCACCCCGCUACAUCGGCCCCUACCUCAUAACCGCCAGAUGUGGCGAAGUGGCUUAUCAGCUUGAGUUACCUGAAGGUCUCGCAGAUGUGCACAACGUGUUCCACGUAUCCCAGUUAAAGAAAUGUCUUCGAGUUCCAGAAGAACAAGUUCCCCUGGGUAAUAUCAAGCUGGAAAAGAAUCUGACCUACAAGGAAAGACCGAUCAAGGUUCUUGAAGAGGCAGAACGUCAGACUCGAAGGAAGACCACCAAGUUCUACAAGGUCCAAUGGAGCAACCAUUCUGAAGAUAAGGCAACCUGGGAGCGAGAAGAUCUUCUCCGCGCCGAGUUCCCGGAGCUGCUCAAUUAGGUGCUGAAUCUCGGGGUCGAGAUUCUUGUUAGGGGGGUUGGUCUGUAGCGCCCGUUCCGUCGUGGCGCCUAGCGGGAAAAUUAUCUCUUAAAAACCCUAAUUGCGAAAUUUGUUUCUUUACUUGUUGUCUAGUGUCCGUACCAUCUCAGAUCUCAAAUCCCCGAUCUAUCGUCAAGUUCAAUUCCGAAUCCAAAUCCUUCCAAAUCAAUUCCUCCGCAAAAGUCUAUUUUGCCUCCCCCGGGUUCGAUGGGCCGAAUCUCUCUCGGCCCAUCUUCCCCUCCCCUCCCCGGCGCCCUCUCUCACUCUCUCUCUCUCUCUCUCUCUCUCUCCCUCCGCUCCGCUCCGCUCCGCCCGCGCGCCGCGUGCGCGCGAGCGCGUGAGCCGCGCCGAGCGCCCCUCCUCCGCUCCCUCCGCCCUGCCCGCGCGUGUGUGAGCCGCCGCGCCGAGCGCCUCCCUCCCCCUCCGCUCUGCGCGCGCGCGUGUGCGUGAGCCGCCUGCCCAUUGUUUCCCGAGCCGCGCCGCCCAUUGUUUCCCGCGCGCGCGUGCCGUGGUGGCCGACCGCCUGGUCGCCGCCGCCGUCAGCCUCUGCCGCGCCUGCCGCCCGUGUCGCCGCUCCGCUCCAAACCGCCCCGCCGUCAUCGCCGUCGUCAUCGCCCGGCCCCCGCUACUCCGCGCGCAAGCCGCCAAGGGACGGAGGCAGAGCCCCUCCCCUCCCUCUGCCGCGUCGCCCCCGCUCCCCUCCUCCUUUUCCCAAAGAAGCAAAGGGUGAGCUCCCCUUUCUCUCCCUCCUUUUUCCCUUUUUCCCUCUCGCCGGCGUCACCUCCUGUCGCCGUUUUGGCCGCUAGCCGGAGCGCCAGCUCGUCGGCUUGACCGUCCAAUGUCGGUUCCCCUCUCCCAAACCGACAUUGCCGCCCCUAUAAACCAAGGCGCCCUCCCAUCGAUUCCCCCCCCCCCCCCCCGUUUCGCUCAUCGCCUCCGUGCCAUUGCCGCCGCCUUCCGUGCUCCGUCUCGCCUCCGCCGUUCAUCGCCAAGCGCCGGGAGAGCCGGUGCGUUCGUGGACGCGGAAGGGGACUCCGGGCGCGCCCUCUCCUUCCUCUUCCCCGGCCCGAGGCCGGAGAGAUUACUCCCGCGCCGUCGGCCUCUCGUCACUGCGCCCCGUCUCGCACGGUAGUGCAUCUCCCCGUUCUCCUUCCUCGUUCCAUCUCUCCCCCUUAGUUUUCGGUAUUAGCUCGAGUAGCCUCCCCGUAGCAAGCCGGCGCCGCCUCGACCGUUGCCAUCGCUCGCCGUGUGCUCGCCGCCGUCGCCGCCCGUGCUCCGUAGCACCCGCUCGUCGCCGGCCUCGCUCGGCGUAGCUCCGCCCAAUCCGACGCUAGCAACGGAUUCCCGCGGCCGCGUAGAUGCUCUCGCCGCCGGGAAUUGGCCCCUCGUGACCUCGUCGCCUUUUCCCCCUUCUUCCGCUGCCGCUUGCCGCCGCCGCAAUUCGUCGCCGUCAAGCUCCCUCCAGCGAAUCCGAGCCGUUGGCUCGUCUCCCCUUGUCCUGUGCAACCACCCGGUGUGCUCGCUUUCGCCUGUAUCGCCGUGGUUCGCUCCGCCGCUCGCCGCUGUCGUCCGCCGUCCGUUCCGGCCGGCGUUGUCGUCUACCUCCCGCCGGCCCGCGUGGCUGCCACGUAGGCGCCACGUCGGCGCCACCUCGGCCACGACUGGAUCAGCUGACCCGGCCAGCCGCUCCCUCCGUUUUUCCUCCCGUGCGCAUGGUCCGCGGUGAGCCGUGAGGCUGCGCGUGGGCCCGCCGCAUCCGUUCCUCCGCGAACCACGCGCGUGCACCGCGUCCCAACCCCGCCCGCGCGCGUGCGCCGCGUGCUCCCUCCGCACGGUGAGCCGAGCCGCUGACAAGCGGGUCCCACCCGGGACCGCGCGUGGUGAGCCCGGUCCACCGGCCCCCUCUCUCCUCCCCUCCCGCGCGCGCUCUGGGCCGCCUUUUGGGCCGGCCGGCCCAUUAAGACUCGGCUGAGCCACCCCAAAUCUCUUGGGCCGCACCCUAGCCGCCCGAGAAAAGUCUAUAUUCCCUCCCUCCUUUCUUUUCUUUUUUUUCUUUUCCAAAAAGGAUUUAAUUAAAUCCUUUUCCUUUAGACCAAAAAUCCAAACAUAAGACAAGUACGACCACAUGGGUGGAAUGGGACACCCCUGGCUGAGUAACUAGCUUAUCAGGGGAGCCUUGAUGCCGAGUGACAUGUGGAUUCGCCGGGGUGGUGUCGGGGAGGACCCCUGGGCUUCCUGGCACAGUAUGGUCUGGGACCUAACCUGUUGUUGGUCUGGGACCCUUCUCGUCGGCAUAUGGUAAACCUGUGUCGGCUUUGGAAAUGCCUUGUCAUGAAAGCUUGGAGGUCUCCCGACGUGGCUGAUUCCCACAGGCUGGGUGAUCCGGGUUAGUAAUGUCGUGUGGGUAAAGUGUACCCCCUCUGCAGAGGUUAACAAACUGUUCGAACAGCCGUGCCCACGGUCAUGGGCGGAUGUGAGGUGAUUCCUAGCGUAGUUUUGUUUGACUACUGCUUGUGAAAUUGCUGUUGUGAAAAGGGGUUCGAUGUUUGAAAAAUCUGCAGCUGACGGGAUCAGCUAGGCCCGGGUGGCCGUUCGAAAGUUGUUGGCCGGGUGCCAAUCUUGAUCAAUUCUAAAGACUGAUACAUUGCACAAACUCCGACCGGACGAGACACACUGUCUCAUCCGUGUCGUUUGAGAAGCACUCACUUAGUUGUUUUCAAAAAGGAGUUCAAAUAAAAUCAAUUGUAAAAAUAACAGCCUUUCCUUGAAGCCUGCAUUAAACACUUAUUUCCCAUGGCUUGCUGAGUACUCCCGUACUCACCCUUGCUCUAUAUAAAUAAUCCCUCCCCCCCAGUUGCUAAAGAAGAUGAAGCGGAUCCUGCUGAUGAGGAGUUCUUCCAGGAGCAAGCCGGCUACGAUGAGUUUUAGGGUUUCGGCCUAGUUCCCAAGUCGCGCCUGUGUUGUUUGGUCCAAGUCCUGGCUUCCGCUUCCCUUUUGUAAUGCAGUUGUGAGCUCGGGAUCUGUCCGCAGCCCAACAUGACUGUACCUCUACUCUAUAAUAAAGAGACCUCUGUUGCUGUGAUAAUCUGUCUUCCUGUGAUACCAGCACUGUGUCCUAGGACUGGUAUCGAUUAACAGGUUAAUUUGGAGCGUCACGGGCUAGUUCCGGUCGGUACUAGUUCGGAGCGUGACAGUAUCACAUUUUUAAGCGUAAAAUUUAGUACCUUCGGGUACUAUACCUUGAGGAACCAAAUUUUUAGUAUAAAAUUUAGAUACAUCGACGUACUUUCUCAAGUAUUGUAAAAUUUCUUCAGGUUAAAUAGGAAUAACGGUUCUUUGAAAGCCCAUAAUUUACAUGUAUCCAACUAAUAAAAUAUAAGUGCCAAAGAAAUAAGGUAGACAUACAUUGACAUACCCAGACUAGAAAUAAAAUAAAUUAUCUACCAAAAUUGGGUCAUAUUGUCAAUGAACAUUGCUGGUAUCAGAAAAACUGUGUCCAUGAAGAUAAUCCUGGGUUCACGUCCGUUUGGUUUUGGUCAAAUGAAGUUAAAUUUGAUCUUGAAUUACCUUCUGUUGAAAUGCAUAAACGUCCUCGUCAGUCGUCUAUCUCUAGUUUAGUUGUAAAGGGAAUGUUCUACACCUAAUGAGAAAUUGAAAACGGAACCUGCAACUAGUUCAUAUACUAUUUAAAUUUCAGUCUAUCAGCAAUAAAUUGGAUUGAUCUGUUACAAUCAGAGAACUUAAGAACACGGAAAGUUCAGUGCAGAUAUUUCUUAAUUUUAAAUUUGUAAGACCAUGUGCACCAAUACGAGUUGGAGUAUUGAAUUGAACUAUUUGUUGAUAGUUGCUCAAGCUAGUAUCAUUCCGUUAACGCCAUAUUUUUAAAUUUGUUUAGUGUGGACUCUGGAGAAACCGAAUAAUAAUUUCCUUUGGAGUCACGUUGCUUUCGUCGUCGGGAGCAUUUUUCCGAUUAAUUUGGACAGCAAAAGCUACAAAAUAUCACUGCACACGAUUGCUCAAAUUACUGUGCGUUACCUGUAGUUUUUUACACAAUUAUUUUGCAUUAAAAUCUGAUGGACGCACAUGAAUCAUUUCUUUUCAGUGGAUACAUCGCGCCCGAGUACUGCUCCCAAAAUGUUUAUUCAACAAAGUCUGAUGUUUUUAGCUUUGGCAUUUUGGUUCUUGAGAUCAUAAGUGGGAAAAGAGCCGUGGGUUCAUACAAAUUAUCUGGAAGAUCAUACGAGCUCAGGAGAUAUGUGAGUGAAAAUCUCCUAAAAACUCUGCAUAUUCAUCCUUUCCUACUGAAGCUGCAUGUAUCACUGUUGCUCGUUUAUGUUUACCCUCUGAAACUUUAUAUUGUUUAAUAUUUGCUAAUAGGCUUGGCAACUUUGGAAAGAAGAGAGAUGCGACGAGUUGGUGGAUCCAUCUUUUGGAGAAGAUUACCAAGAAAUGGACAUUAUUAGGUGCAUUCAGGUGGCACUUCUGUGUGUCCAAGACAGUGCAGAGGACAGGCCAACGAUGCACGAUGUAACGACGAUGCUAAGCAACGGAAACAGGAGGUUGCUCAUGCCUGCACAACCAGGUUCAUUCAACAUAGAUAUUGGCGAUCCAGAGGAGCUCUGAUGAUGAAACCAGACUGACAGAUCGUCCAGACAAAUCAAACGUGUUUAGCCGGACGAAUUCGAUGUAGACAAAUUAAAUCAAAUUUAGAUCAAGCUAUAUAUAGGACAAUUAUUCAUGUAUAAAGUGUUGUGUUCGCCACCUGUUGGAACUAAACUGAUUGCAGAUUAAUUUCCCAUGCUCUUGGCUAAUUUGUACAGAUUGAAAAUCAAACUGCUUUGCUGUAUUUUCCAACUAGAGGAUUCAUGAACAACACAGCCCAGCUUGGUUUGUUGACAUGAUCAUUUUCUUCUUUUUGUUGAUUUAGAGCAUCUCCAACAGUCUCUCCAAAUUCCACUCUUCAAAUAUCUAUUUAGCCAACUAUCCAUUUAAUUUGACAAGUUAAAUCCGUUAUUUACUCCAACAGCCUCUCCAUUCAUCCUCUCUAUUAUGAGUCUGUAACAGCGGGACCCAUAUGUCAGCCUUCUACAUCACUUUCUUCCUCAUUAUCCUGCUCCCCCUCUUCCCCAAGCCCUUUUUGCUUGCGGCAGUGGUGCCCGCCCGCGGCGACGGCGGGGCAGCGGUGGCAGCGCGUGGCGACGGUGGGGCGGUGGUGGCCGCGCGCGGCGACGAUGGGGCGGCGGUGCUCGUGCCCGACGACGACGGGGCGACGGUGGCCGGGUGCGACGACGACGGAGCGUUCCUCCUAAUGGCGACCCUACUACUUAUUGCUCGUCUCCCCACUCGGCACCCCCCAUCUCUCUUUGUGCCAAAGGUAAUCCAUCCAUUCCAUCCAUCGAAUCCUGCUUCUUUUUUGCUUGUGCCUUGUGUUGCAAAGCAGUCUUGGAUUCCUUCUGUUCGCAUUGCCAUGAGAGUUCUAGUUCGAUCCCCAACUAAGAGCGUUUUGUUUUCGUUUUUUAUUCUGUUCGUUCGUUCUUUCGAUCUGCAGAUCCUACAAACUCGCCUCGCGAAUAACGAUGGCAUCGUCGCUGCCGUCGUCUGACCCGUCCUUGGAGACCGCAGAGGAAGGAGAGGGAAGACGUCGGCUCCCUGUGGAUGGUGGCCGCGGCGCAAGGAGACGAGAGGAUGUGGUGUGGUAGCGGAGCUGGAGGGAGAGGAGAAGCUCGGGUAGAGGAGAGCUGGGGGAUAGCCAGCCUAGGAGGCUGGCCAAUAUUAGCCAGUGGGUGGGCUUGAAUGGAGAGGCAAUGGAGAGUUUGUUGGAGGAGUGUUUUUGGUUCAUUUGUCAAAUUUUUAGCUUGGAGAGCUUAGUAGAGAAGCUGUCGGAGAUGCUCUUAUUGGGCUUGGGCUUGAGCUUGAAAACUCGGCCACUAUAUCAACUGAGGUCAAGAGAUAUAAGCCCAUAUAUAUACGCUAGUAUGGAGAUUUCACCAUGAACGUCCUACUAGUACUCAGAAAUCAUACUAGUACACGUAACAAUCCAAUUCAGUAUCCAACUAGCUCAAUUUAUUUGUUCCAACAGCAUCACAUGUACUGUAUAUGCACAAGGAUCACACAGCUAGCACCAGUUAAGCUCGUCCCAGCGCCACACGAAAAUGUAACCAAGGACGGUCGCGAUCGUCACUUCUAGCUACUACAACCAAUAUACAUAGUACAUACUGCAAAUCUGCAAUCUGCAAAGCGCUGCAACACCACACGCGACAGAUACUUCAUCAUCAGGUGCCCUCCGCCCCGGACAUCUUGCUCAGCCUGCUGGGCUGCUUGGAGUCCUUGCCGCCGGCCACCGCCUGCUGCCUCUGCCUCGCCGCGCCGCGGCACCGGCUCGUCGUCGUCGGCCCGUACAGCGCCCGCUGCGCCACCGCGCCGGCGUACAGGUCCACCCUCGACUUACCGCCGCCGCCGCCGCCGAUGCCGUCGGAGCCCUGGCUGAUGAUCUUCUUCGUCGUCUGGUGGUGGUGGCCACCGUGAUGAUCAGCAGCUGACGCCUCCAUGUCGUCCUGAUGCGAAAACACUAAUUGCGAGUGGUGCAAGUGAGAUCUAGCUAGUAGUGUGAGAUACAACGCACGAUGCGUGGGAGCCGGAAUUUAUAGUGGCUUGGGGGUUGAAACUUCCCAAGGGGAAAGGAAUCUGGCGACGUGUGGAUGUGGUGUUCGCUUGCAUUGGUAGGAGAAGGCACUGAGGUAUGUGUGGAGACCUUUUUCUGUUUUUUUGGCUUUUUUUGGGUCUUAGUCGCUUCAGGGGAUGGUAAACACCACUCUAAAUUUUAAGCCCAAGGUAUCCACGUGUGAGCCUUAGUUCAUCUUAAGCUCACGAGAACCCUCGGUGGUGGACUGGUGGUAUGGUAGUAGGUCCGGCUAGAUUACACCGUACGUAGUGACUUCAUCUUUCAUAAAAUGAUCAAUUCUAGAUUUCGGCCAGCUGGAGACCUUCCCCCGACAAUCUUAAGGCAAUUUUAUUUUUUUUUUACGAAACACUGUGAUUUCGCGGUUUUGGUUGUAGAACGCCACAUGAAAUGACUUUUAAGAAAUUUUGGAAAAGUUACUCUAAACAUGAAAACAAGCUCGUGGACACCUCAUCCAUUAGAAUAUUUAUUUAUGAUUGAAUAGGAGAGAGAAACCUUGUGAAAUUUCUAAAGUAUCCCUGUACCCACUUGUCAGUUCUUCAAUCACGAGUCUGGUUUUUAUUAUGGUUUGGUUACUAUUUGACCUAUUCAGAAUUCGGCACUUUCCUCUUCGUUAUCAGGUCAAUCCAAAACGAGGAGUGGGGAGAUGAGUGAGGGCGUGAGGAAUUCGGCAAGGAACGGCCAUGAGGAUGAUGACUGAGCACGUCCCAUGGUGUAACUCUUUCGUACAUGGCUGAAGCAAGUAUUGAGAAGAACUAAAGCGAUGGGAACAUGACCGACAAAGGCACUAUCCCGAAGGAGAGAUAAACAUCGGUGGUGAGCUCCGGCGGUGAAUAUGACCAAGGGAGCGCAUCAAAGCGUGUUAUCGGACGAUAUAUUCCAUUUUUCUAGAACUUGUUGAUGGAUGUGGAGCAAAGGUGGUAGCAUCUAUGGCGGCCAUCCAUGGCGAAGAAGAGGAAGGGAAAGUUGAGGGCAAACCCUCACCGAAGCGAUGAGGAGGCCGGGGUGCAGGAGUGUCCCGGUGACCAGUGACGGCAUUUUAGAACUUAGAGGCUUACAAUAAUGCCCUAUGUGCGAAAGAGAAAGAUAGAGAUAGAGAGAUGGGAGACCUGAUAUGUGGAUCUAGGGAGGCUUAUAAUCAGAACUUUCACAUGGUUUUACUCUACUGUUCAACCAGAAACAAAUAUUCUAAUGGUCGUGGUGUUCACGAGUUAAUUUUCACAUUCAUCGAGUGCCUUCACCCAGAAGUUACUUCAUGUGAUGUUCUACAGUUAAUACCACGAAGUCAUAAUGUCCUGUAGCAAAAUUUUUCAAAAUUCAAUUGAUUAUUAUAUAACCGUAUGAGCGUAAAGGGUCUUUCCCACUUGGUGAUAGACUCCCCAACUUAUAUCUUUGGACUUUUUCCAAUUCCACAACCAAUUACUGUGGGACUAUUUAACAUUAACCAUGCAAUUUUUUCGAGAUUCAUGCUUAAUUUGAGCUCCGAUACACUGCUAGUGGUGGCACCAAAUUGUGAUAAGGCUAGUAUAGCUAGGACUUGAGCCUUAGGCUAAAUGCAUGAUGCAUAAUUUAUCUCAAAAUUUAGUAAAAGUUUUGAAGAUAAAUGAUGCAAAAUGCAUCAAGUUAAUUCAGCCCUCCUCUUAAAGAUUUCUUGUCUCACAACUGUACGUCGUCGUAGAUGCCCUUACAUAUGUGCAAUGACAUGUCGUAGAGUGUGGAGAGGCGGCCAUUUUGAACCAAUGACAGUUACUUGAACAGUUGUAACAGAUGCGUCCAUAUUAUGCAGGUUGCGAUGGAUCCACCAGCGGCAGCCAGAGAGCAGAUCUUUUUAUCUUCUCAUGGUCAUCCCGGAGGUUUAUUCUUUGGAGAUCUCGAAAGGAUAAGAAAAUGUGGUAACGCAAGGUCGGUGGAGAAGAGAAGGAAUCAGGGGUUUCUCUCUGAAAGGGAGUUUCUCAACUUUCUUGGCCUAUGAUGAAGAGGAUCAUUCCAUGCCAAUAGGCAGACGGCAGAAAAGGCCUCAAUGAUGAAAAAGGGGGCUCAGGGCUUGCUGUGGAUCAAGUUGAAUGUCCAAGAAUAUUCAAAAGCUUGCUCUGUGGGGGGUUCCAAAAGGAUGGAUGGAUUGAUACAAGACAUGUGGAAUUUUGCUUUGCACAAGUGUACUGGUCAAUGAUAUAUACCACAUUUUUACGAAACAUGAUAUUUUUAUAUAACUAAAAAUAUAGCCCGCGCACAUGCGUGGACACUUAUUCGAUGUGCUUGAAAUUUUCGUAUUCGAUGUGCCUUUUUAUUGAAAUGAUUUUUACUCUAUUAUAAACAUGUUUUUUGUCAAAAAUUUAUUUUCUUAAUUAUCCUUGCAGCAUAUAAAUUCUAAACUAAAAUUAAAUUACUUGGAACUUUGCGGUUUUUAAUUUAUGAGUUAUGACGACGUAUUGUCCCAUAAUAACCUACUUCCUCCAUUUUUAAAAUUAUUGAUGUUUUAGGCUUGUGAUCUAAGGUUGCUAAUUCUUGACGAUCUAGGCUUAGCCUACUUAUCUAAGACUUUUUUGCCCCUGCAUGCAUGCAUCACAUUAGAUCAAGCCAGCCAUCUCAUGCGUGUGUGCACUUCGCAGCUCGCAAGCCAGCUAUGUUCGGCAUCCAUUCUUCCCAACUCAUCUCUCUCAUUUUUCACGCGCACGCGUUUCAAACGGUUAAACGGUGUGUUUUUUUAAAAAAAAAUUCUAUACGAAAGUUAUUUAAAAAAAUCAAAUUAAUCCAUUUUUUUUAAAAAAAUAGCUAAUACUUAAUUAAUCACGUGCUAAUGGAUCGCUCCGUUUUUCGUGCAGACGGUUCCUUUUGGGAAUAAGGGGUGCCGAACACACCGGUGCUGCAUGCAUGCUUUCUCGUUGCUACUGCUUUGCUGCUUCGCCUUCUUCAUCUUCAUCUUGUCUUCUCAUGUGUUUCUUUUUUUAAUAUUCAGCAUACCUAGAUUUUUUUUUUGAGUAAAUUUCAUUUUGGGCUAGGUUUAAUAGCCAAAAUUUCACUAUGGACUAGGCCUAAGCCCAUAUUUUCACAUAACUCGAGAUAAAAAUUACCUUCCUUUGCACUUUGGAUCGGGUUGCACUGAUUUGAACCGCCACGUCGUCUUCGGUCCAAUCCACGUGAGCAAUGGCUGGUGGACUCAGUCCAUGGGAGAAUCGUGGGGAGUCUCCUAGACUCAGUGCGUAUUCCGCUCGAGAGAGAGCGCAUAGCGGCACAGAAGGCCGGGCGCCACCGCCGCCGUCACUGCCGCUGCCAUCGCCGUCGCCGCCGCCCCCGGCCGUCGCUGCCGCCCCAGCCGCUGCCGUUGCCGCCUCCGUCGCUGCCGCUUGAACUUUGAAGUGUGCUCCUUGUGGGGACAACAUGCAGGAGAGACGGCGGUUAAACUAGAUUCUUGCAGGGUUGUCUGCUCUUGUUGGGGGCACUUCAAGCACCUCAGUAAUGCCAUUACAAGGCAGCAGGAAAAUUAAAUCAGCAAUUUCUGCUACUACGUUUGAUUACCUUCAGAAUCCAUGCAAGAAUCAAGAAGGAUGGAGCCGCUGCUGCUUGCUAACUCCAGGCGCUCUUGAUGGCUACAGCUGAUGAGGGGAGAGCAGUCGAGCGGACACAUCGAGCAGCCGACGAAAUCUUGAUCAGGGACAACCAAAUCCUAUAUAUUCGGGGCAGUGCCGUAGCCGGGGUAAGGGGGGCUAUCAUCUGCCGGGGGCGUGGUGGUGCCGCCGCCGGUGCCGUGCUUGAACCCUCGCGGCGUCGGCUUCGCGCCCUACACGCGUGACUUCCCGCGCGCGUAGUUCCUCUCACCGCGAAUAGAGUUUUCCACGCCAUCUCUUUUACCGUCAAGGUCUUGCUCACGUGGAUUGGACCGAAGACGACGUGGCGGCCCAAAUCAGUGCAACCCGGUCCAAAGUGUAAAGAAAGGUAAUUUUACUUAUAGAUCGUCAUAUGGCCCAAGGCCCAUGGCCCAGCCCGAAGCCUGCAAUUUUGGCCCAGCCUAAGCUCGGCAGGGCCCGACUGGGGUCGUGCCCGUGCCGGCCCGGCCCGGUACAGCCCGAUCAAAUAAAAAAAUAUAGGGAUGCAAAAUAGACUUAUAUAAUCAUGUAAGGCAAGGCCCAAGACAAGAGGUAUACAAAAUAGACUUAUUUUCUAGCUAUUUAAACACAGCCGCAGAGUUAAGGGACCAAAAAUAGACUUUUUCUGUGAGCAGGCACGAUGGGCCUUCAUGCCUUCGGGCCGGCCCGGCAGGCCCAAGUAGUAUUGGGCCGUGCCUAGGCCGUGGAUGUCGCCCGUGGGCUGGCACAGCACGGGCCGGUGUGUCGGUCGGGCCGUGCCGGCCCAACAAGCCUUGGCCCAGGCACGGCCGGGCGGCCCAGAUGGCCAUCUAUAAUUUUACCUGGUGUUAUGUGAAAAUAUGGGUUUAGGCCUACUCCGUAGUGAAACUUUGACUAUUAAACCGGGCCCAAAGUGAAAUUUACUCUCUUUUUUUUCUAAACUAACAUUUUUCUGGUAUACUGUAGAUGUUCUUAUGGAUUUUAGGAUAUAUUAACUGAAUAUAUUUUCUAUUGAAAUAUGGCUAAUAGGACUACUUAAUGUAAUUAAAUAAACUUAUAUUUAUUUCUACUCCCUUCAGCCUUAUAAAUUCAAGAAUUCAAAUUUUGACUCAAGAUGUAAAGGAUUGAGUACCACUUGUCCCAUUGAAGCAUGUAGUAUUAUUUAUUGUCCAAUCUUAAUCCAACCACCUUCCAUUCUCUACCAACCCUUUACGUAAUGAUGGAUAUCAUAGUCUUUUUCCUUCCUCCUUGAUUGCUGCAAAAAUCUUUUUCCCUUCCUCCUUGAUUACUGCUAAAAUCAUAGGAUCUCCCUUAUUUUAUAGGAUAUAGAUGGUAAUUACCAAGAGCAUCAUUUAUGGGCAUUGGCAUAGCCAUUUAAGUUAUUAAGAAUAGACACGUUGUUACUAAAUCGACUCUCACCACUCCAAAAUUGAUUUCCAUGGAUCCCACCAUGCCUAUGGGAAAGGAGGAUAAGUGACAAACGACGUCAGUGAUCAGAGGUCCCUAGCACCAAGAUAUAUAGACGAUGCAAUAGAGAGAGGAUGAUCAUGUAUGUCUGAUGCAGUGCGAUUGUCAUAGUAAAGGUGAACAAUUAACCUCAAAUUUAGAAGUGGUGAUCGGAGGUCCCUAGCACCAAGAUAUAUAGAUGAUGCAAUAGAGAGAGGAUGAUCAUGUAUGUCCGAUGCAAUGCGAUUGUCAUAGUAAAGGUGGACAAUUAACCUCAAAUUUAGAAGUGGUGAUAGUUGAUGAUGAGGAAUACUAUAGCGAAGUACUUGAUUACGUCAACACUUUAAUUAUGUCAUUUGAAUUUUAGAUGUCAGGUGCUAUAUUAAAAUAAGAUUAUGGAUAUAAAUGUGCAUUUUAUAAAUUUAUAGACAUAGAUAACACACAUUUGAGAAGAAAAGAGAGAGGAAGAAGCACGGAAUGGUGGAGGCUAAAGGGAGAGCUAGCAAUGACUCUAUACUUUGGCUUUUUAACAGCCCAUAAAUAUAACUCUGGUUUUAUAGUUUUCAUAGAGAGAAAACAAAAGGAAAGAAGUGUGUGUAGCGGAAGGGCGCACGCUGCAUGGGGGAGGGUGGGAAGGAGAUAAAUAUUUAGUUGUUGAAAGGAUUGGUCCACCAAUUUGAUUUAAAAUUAAGAGUCAGAUGUUGUUUUUUCCAGAAUUUGUAUGAUCGUCUCUAAUCUUUACGGCUCUGGCACUACAGGGCAUUCUUGUUUUUAUGAAAGUCGUUGUACAAAAAUGUUGAUUAAUAAUUAAACUAACAAUGCACGUGGUUAGUUUCAUAUUUAUGAUAUCCUUAUAUUUAUAUUUGAAAACAAUUCAACUUAUAUAUGUUAAUUUGCUACUCAAUACGUGUCUUUAAUUGUUCAUUUAAUUAAUAAAAUGGUUGAAACCGAUUAUAAAUUGGAUGUACAACUAAAAGUUGUGGUAAAAGAAUCAAAUCAUCAUCGAGAGAGAGUUUAUGAAUUAGUCUAUGGCUCUUGGUGAUCUGAUCUGAGUCACCACGUAACUAUAGAGAGACAGGUUUGGUGGACAUAUUUUCUGUGUGUGUAUUAUGGGCUACGGACCGAAGGAGGUAGCCAGGUUGACACUGGGUGUUUGUGGACUAUGUACGUGAACUUGUUGAGAGAGGGGUGGGUUCAAGCGGUUGAUCGUGGAAGGUGAAGCCCGUAGUCUGAGACCAGUCCUUUGUGGACCAAGAUUAUGAAAGUGGGAUAUAGUAGGAGUGUGUGAACCGAGAUCUCAUUCAUUUCUUGUUAGCUAGGGCCAUCAUAUUAUUGUGAGCAUGUUAAUUUCCCAAGCUUACAAAUAGGUAUGAGUUUUACGGAAAACUUCCUCAUCAGCAUCUCUUUAAAAAAUCAAAAUAAUUAACUCAUAAACGUUUUUAUUUAAUUUGUUUACUUGUGUCCUCUAAUACUUGUCAUAAACAUAGGCUAUCAAUUAUUCGUCAGCACUGUUAAACAGGCAUGAGUUCACGUGCUUGGGUUGAUGGACUUUGGUCACACAUGAAAACAACUGGCGGCAUAUAUUUGGCCUGGCGAACAGCAGCGAUGUGGAGCAAAAGGUUGGCACUGACAGCUAAAGGAUGAAACGGGAAGCACUAUCUCCAAUUUAAAAUAACUUUAUUUUUAACCCAUUUCAUAUAUAAUAAUACGAAGACAAAAUAAAAUAAAACGCCCUAUAUUUUAUCGAGUUGCAAUAAAAAUAUCUCUUCUUUAUCUAAUUCGAAAGCAUUUAUCUUCUACUUUCACGAACUCUAAUGUAAUUGCUUGAAACAUAAAGUUAUUUUAGGAUGACAAGCCAGAUGCUUAAAAAUAAAGUUAUUUUGAGACGGAGAGAGUAGGAAUCACCGAAUCAAUAUGGCUCAGAUCGGACUGCAGGCGACCGAGGUACGCUAUGUGGUUCGUUGCGCGAAGUUAAUUAUGGGUUAUCGGCACCUAGAGGAGCAAGGAUCAAUUGGUCACAACAGCCACGAUCUAUCGAUUGACGGCGCGCACGCGGCGGCCGAGAAGCUAGCUAGGGUAAGUGCCCGACCGCGGCCGUCGUUGGCAGAGAAACGCCGGCUCGGCUACGGGACUGAUCGAGGUCAAAGAAUGCGAAUUUGGUCAAUAGUGUGUGGUCAGGCAAAGAGCUAGCAUCAAGUCUCAUCAAAAUAUGUAGGGUUGGGCUAGCUUCAAAUUGUAUUGCACGCCCGCACGUGUAAUAGACUAAUUGCCAACAUAAUGCAGUAUUUUGAUUAAGAUCACUCGUUGCAACAGACAAUAAUAUCCUCUCUUUUUCUUUUUCUUUUCCCUGACUAUUUUCUCCUUUCGAGAGCGUGCCGUUUCUGAAUUGUUAGGUACGUUAUGUUUUGGUAAAUUUCAUCAAAAUUAUUUUCUUUAUAGGAGAAAUAAACAUCUCGACCACGCCGUUAAUAUAUGCCCUCACCGGCUGCUGGGGCGACUCUGCUGCCUCUUGCUCCUCUUCAACAAUUCUUGGAGCAUCUAAUUAAAUUAAUCGAUUUCGGAUCACAGUUCAACAAACAUAGCUUUGGCUAUUCUUCCUUGAAACUACUAUAUAGGGCACAUGCAACACACAUGCUUGUUUAGUCGUAGAUCAUGUCUAAGGUACGACCAUACAUAAUUCCAAAUGAGAAAACAUAUGGAAAUAAUGCCCUGAUCCGUUCUUACCUGACUUGGUAGGUAAGAGGUAACUUCAAAUUAAAAUGUAUCGAUAUCAACUGCGACCAUAUAUCAUGGUGUGAUUUGGUACAUGCAUGUUCUACUAAGUCUGUUUCUAAUCCUGUACUAACUGUCGACGAUGUCAAAUUUUUUAAGGGGAGAGUAUUUUUUUACCCGACCUAUAUAUACAUCCAACCGUAUAUAUACAGCCAUCGAAAUAGGGAACUUAGUCUCGCAAACAAUCCAAUUUGAAAUUUGCUCCUAUGAAGAUUUGAACUCAGAAUCUUGGGGUACUACCCAAGUCACUGUAACCACUAGGCUACAUGUCCUUUCGUAUCGUUGACGAUGUCAUGGGGUACAAAAUUUUCACAUUGCACCUCGUGGAAGCUUCGGAUCAGAACAAAAAUACUAAGCUGAGAAGAAUGGACGGAGUCAAGUGCAUGUCAAAGAAACUUGUCAGGCCCAAGCAUGCAUGCAUAGGCCGAAUGCACAGGCGCGCGACACAUUUUGCAUUGAUGACAUGGUUAACUAUACGACAAUUAGAAGUAAAAUUUAUCUUUACGACCAUAUAAUGUCAAUGUCUCCAGGGCACGCAAGUGACAAUUACUUAGUCCUCACCUACCGUCGACCUCACACGUAAUUCUCUAUCGCUAUAUUCUGCAACACACACAGUUUGCUCCCGGUCGACGAAACCCACGAAUUGAGGAGGAAAUCCUAUAUACAUAUGCAAGCAAGUAAUUAAGCAGAGUGUGAGAGAGUCCUUUUCUGAGAGAGAGAUUAUUAUACGUUUUUGCUAGCUUAGUAGUACUACCUUACUUAGUACGAGGUAUAGUAAUAAUCAGGCCAACAAUUAAUAUGGCGAGAGAGAUCCACAAGAUCGCGAGCCUGAGGCGGGAGAGCUCGCUGUGGAGGCGGGGCGACGACGGCGUGUAUUUCUCGCGGUCGUCGACGGGGGCGUCGUCGUCGAGGUUCAGGGAUGAGGAGGACGACGAGGAGGCGCUGCGGUGGGCGGCGCUGGAGCGGCUGCCGACGCGGGACCGGGUGCGGCGGGGCAUCCUGCUGCAGGCGGCGGAGGGGAACGGCGAGAAGGUGGAGGUGGACGUCGGCAGGAUGGGCGCCCGCGAGAGCCGCGCGCUCAUCGCCCGCCUCAUCCGCGCCGCCGACGACGACCACGCCCUCUUCCUGCUCAAGCUCAAGGACCGCAUGGACAGGUAAAUAUCACUGCUGGAUUUUUCCAAACGGCCACAGCAGAUUUUUGCAUGCGGGCCUCUCGUCCGUCUGUAAUCAGGUGUCUGUGAAAAUCAUCAUUUUUUCAUAUGGGUAUAUUGCAUGUGAAAACGGACGGUCAUCUAAACCAAAUGCAUGCGAAAAUAGUUUUGACCAAAAAACUAAAAUUCGUGGGAGAGGGCAGCCGCCGCCGGCCAUUCCCGCCAGCCGCUUGGGAGGGGAGGUGAGGGAAAGAGAGGAGGUGAGAAAUGAGAGGAGAGGAAGUGAGAAAAGAUAAUGAUGAGUUGACAAUAUUUUUCAAGAUGGUGAGAGGAAAACAGCUAGACUUAUUGGCGGGUCUUAAAGGACCAUCUACGAAAAUUAAUUUUCGUAUGCGGACGCUUAAGAGGUUUGUCUACGAAAAUAGUCUUAUUUUUGUAUGGACUUGUUAAGAGGCCGUGAUCGAUUACGAUCCUUCUGCAUUCUAUGGGGACCCUUUAUAGAAAAAUCCAUUUUUAAGUAGUGUAUAUAGUUAUAUACACGUAGAGAAUAUGCAUCAUGCAUAUAUUGUUAAUUAUUUUGCAAAAAUGAAACAAUAAAACGAUCUCUAAGCUAGAUUUGAUCGCUUGAUAACCUGGAUACUACACCGUACCUCUGGUUCACUUAGCUUACCUGUUGCUUGCAUGCACACAUUGGUUAUUGAUAUUGUAAACAUAUAUAGUAGUAUAUACUUUUUAUAUCCUUUGAGUACACACCGAAUUAACCUUGGCUGCAUGAGACAAGUGGUUCCCAUGGGUGAAACUUGACCAUACAGAACUCGUCAUGCUUUAUGCUUACAGCAAGUAUAUAUUGAUGUUAAACUCUGAGAGUACCAUGUAGGUUUCGAUAAUGAUGUGGAUAGGAUAGAGGACAAUCGAGCUGCCUCUUAUACAAGAGAAACUGAAAACACGAGCUCAUUAAAACUAGAAAGAGACAGGAUGUCAGCAAGAGGAAACUAGUUAGUAAAAUAAAAUUAGUGUACAGCAUUAGGUUAGUGUAAUAUAUCUGGUAAUAUAUUGUUAAGACACAUAUCAUAUCAUAUAGUCGAUCGAAGUUAUAAAAUUUUGAUUUUAAUGAUAUUAAAAUGUCUGGAAUUAUGAAACCGGAGAGAGUAAUUGGUUAUUACUCCUGAAGAGAUAUGGACAAAAUUAGAAGUAGUACGUAGAUAUAUACUCCCUCCGUUUCAAAAUGUUUGACACCGUUGACUUUUUAGCACAUGUUUGACCGUUCGUCUUAUUCAAAAUAAUUUGUGAAAUAUGUAAAACUAUAUGUGUACAUGAAAGUAUAUUUAACAAUGAAUCAAAUGAUAUGAAAAUAAUAAAUAAUUACUUAAAUUUUUUGAAUAAGACGAAUGGUCAAACACAUAAUAAAAAGUCAACGGUGUCAAACAUUUUGAAACGGAGGGAGUAUAUUAACUUGCUCUUAGUCAUGCAACUAAAAUAGAGAUUAGCUUACAUAGACUGCGGUUCAUUUAAUUGUACUUAAACAAAACUCAUUUAAAAUAUGACAACACUUGAACUCGAUUCGAUCUCCUAAUUUGCCCAUGUCAUGUGUCCUGAAGAGUCAAUUAUCUAAAAAAUAUAUUACACAACAGUACUAAAAUAUACACAUUGAUGUUCUCUCUUCUUACUCUCCCUUCUCACCUCAAACCUCUGCAGAUUGGCCCAACUGGCAAUGUUAUGGAUCACCUACUAAUUAUUAUUGUACCUGUACUUGCAGAGUGGGGAUAGAUUAUCCAACUAUUGAGGUACGGUUUGAAAAACUAGAGGUGGAGGCAGAGGUGCACGUUGGCAACAGGGGCCUGCCCACGCUCCUCAACUCCAUCAUCAACACAGUGCAGGUAAUACAAUAUACAGUCAGCCAGUAGUGCUCUAAUUUUUUAAGACGGCAAUGCUCCUACCAGACCUUAGGUUUUUUAGGAGCUUCUUCUAGCUCUACAGCUACUCUAAACAGUUUAUAAUUUCACUCAGCUUCCGAGAAGCUAUAGUUAAUUAGUUAUAUAAUCUAGAAAAAUAAACUAAGUCAGAACUUAAAUAACUUUUUUUUAAUUCUCAUCAACUAGCUUUUUAUCAGUUGCUUCUCAGGACCUUCAAUCUUAAAGCUCUCAUAAACAGGAUCCUAGAGGAUCUAGGAAGAUAUGAUAACCCUUUUACAUUGUGUGAUUACAAAAUGGUCUACGAACAAGGAAAAUUACAAGUACUUUGAAGAAACAAGAAAAGCAACCGGAUCCUUGUGAUGCCAUCGCAAACAAAAUCAAGAUAGUUGAUGCCAUCAAACCACUAUGCAUAGAUACAUUGGGUGACCUUACCGGGCUGCAUUAACCUUGCACACCACAAUUCUUGCCCUCGUGGGGGUCUCCGAUCAAUGAAGGUUUGGUUGUCUCUUUGCGAAAACGACCAUCUUAACCUUUUAGUUGAAGUCGUCAUAGGUGAGAAAAAUGAUUGGCAUUGACCUUGUAAAGCAUGCAUCAGAGUUUUGUCAAUUGGUGCAACCGCGCCUAUAGCCAAUACCUUCAACAAGGAAGCGAAACGCUACCAGGUACAACCAACUAAAGCUAGUUCUAGAGAUUUAACCUUAAAGUCAAGGAACUGAUACAUGGGCAUCACCUAAUCGGUUCCACAGUUAUAUUGUUCCUCCAUUCCUAGCCGGUUCCUCCAUAUCUCCCACUCUUAGCCCUAUUUCAAUUGGCUAUAAACUACACAACUGCAACCUUUUUAGAUGUGUUACCCUGCUGUUGUAGUGUUGCGAGCAAGUCAAUAGAUACACGCCCAACAUCCAUGAGGUCCAUCUAAAGAGCAGAUGAGUUGUCGAUGUAAAUGAUACCAUUGAAGCCAAAAUGUGGCAUUACUCUACAUGAUACCAAAGUAAUUGUGAGUGACAAUUUAACCAUACUUAGGUCAUUUACCAAAUUAUGAAACAGAUUUUUUAUUCACGCUUCAAAAAAUACAUUUUCUCGUAGAACUUUUUUUAUUGUUUACACCACUUGUUUUAAAGUAUUUUUAAGUUUAUUUAUUAAAAUAUUUAAUUUAUCCGUAUAAUCAAAUGGAUAAUCUGCACCAACAAUCAGUUCCCAUUUAUAUUUAUGAAAACAUAAGCUAAUUUUAUUUUCAAAAUCUAGCUUCACGUAAAAUUACGUGGGAAUAUUCGCUAGCUAGUUGUGGUUAGUAGGAGUACGUAGGAAGCCCACAUUUGCACAUCACGCAUCAGAACAAACCAGGCCCACGGUGAAACUCACCAAUUCUCACCACUCCGUCCUCUCCUCCUCCUCUCCCGAGCUCUGAGCCUGCCAUCUCUCUCUCACCGCCUCACGCCGUCCUCCGACGUUCGCCGGCGACGUUGAUGGCGCCACGACCUCUCCCGAGUCCUGACGACGCGCCACCUCAGCCUUCUCUCUUCCUAGCCAUGGAGAGCGGUCAACUCCCAGCACCACGCCUCUGCGCUUUUGAGCGGCAUUUCGCCGAACAUGUGGCGUGCAUGGUCGGAUUCUCAAAGCAAUUGUAAUCUUCUUGCUCCGUCGAUGCGAUAAUGCGAUACUUCUUCAUUUCGAGGCGUAAUAAUAUGUAAUUUUCCAUGUUAAGUUGCUUCGAAAUCGUUCUCUUGGUGCAGGCGAUCGGGAACGCGCUCCACAUCUCCCCCACCAGGAAGCAGCCGAUGACCGUCCUCCAUGACGUCAGCGGAAUAAUCAAGCCCCGAAGGUAAAACCACGAGCUAGACACUGAUAUAGCACAAAUUUGCGUAAACACUAACACAUUUUCUUUGUCGAGAUGUCAUGCUGCUAAUUAUCAACCCAUGUCUUGAUUUAAUUUCAGGAUGACAUUACUUCUAGGACCUCCUGGGUCAGGCAAGACAACGUUGCUCCUGGCAUUGGCUGGGAAGCUUGAAGACAAUCUCAAGGUCCAGAAUUGAACCUAGCUAUGUGCAUUUUCACUCCAUUAUAUAUUAUUAUGUUCAAAUCUUGUAGCAUGGCCGUGUCGCUUUGCGGUUCUUCCGUAUGAGGGGGCAAAAAAAAAAAAGAAAAUCAUUUUGUGUUUAACUUGCUGAAUGCGCAGGUUUCUGGGAAGGUUACCUACAAUGGCCAUGGGAUGGAUGAGUUUGUGCCUCAAAGGACAGCUGCUUACAUCAGCCAGCAUGAUCUCCACAUUGGAGAGAUGACAGUGAGGGAGACCUUGGCCUUCUCGGCACGGUGCCAAGGUGUUGGAUCUCGAUAUGGUAUGUGUACCUAAAAUAUUGACUUGUUCUUGGCCAUAUUAUGGUGGGAUACUGAGCUAGGUUGUUUUCCAGACAUGCUUACAGAGUUGUCAAGGAGGGAAAAAGCAGAGAACAUCAAGCCAGAUCAAGAUAUUGAUGUCUAUAUGAAGGUGAGCUGGUGUCAUGUGUUGCUUAGAUUUAUUUGAUUUUUUUUGUCGCAAUGAACAGAAGAACUUUCAAGCGUACUUCUCAAAUGUAAUAUAUUUGCAUAAUAGAAUAACAGUUGUUUUUUCCUGCUCCUUUAGGCCUCAGCUAUUGGAGGACAAGAGUCCAGCGUUGUCACUGAAUACAUAUUGAAGGUACAGGCUGCCAACACAUAGAACUAAUUGUAGAACUACGUAAAUGAAUUUUUACUGAAUGUUUGUUUGUCUGUUACAUAUCUGCAGAUUUUAGGAUUAGACAUUUGUGCAGACACAGUGGUAGGGAAUGAUAUGUUAAGGGGUGUAUCUGGUGGACAACGGAAGCGUGUGACUACAGGUAUGAUUCAUAGUUUUAGGCAAAUAUGGAGGCUAAGUGGAGAAUGGUUCAUUUUUCAAUCUUUAUCACAUAGAUAUGAGUUUACAAAAUUUCCUGGGCGCAUUAGCAUAAUUGUAGUUGUCUUGUUAGGAAAUCUUUUUAAACUUUCUCUUUGUAGGUGAGAUGCUUGUUGGUCCAGCAAGAGCUCUGUUCAUGGAUGAGAUAUCGACCGGACUGGAUAGUUCAACCACAUACCAGAUUGUGAAUUCCAUUGGGCAGACCAUCCGUAUCCUUGGUGGAACUGCUGUCAUCUCCUUGCUACAGCCGGCACCUGAAACAUACAACUUAUUUGAUGACAUUAUACUCCUCUCAGACGGGCAGAUUGUGUACCAGGGUGCCCGCGAACAUGUGCUCGAGUUCUUCGAGUUGAUGGGCUUCAGAUGCCCCCAAAGAAAAGGAGUUGCUGACUUCUUGCAGGAAGUAUGUGUAAUUAUCUACAAGUUACCAUGCCAAUUAGUGAUUCUGAUUUGCAAAGAUGAAAGUUACUGUUAUCUGAAAUUCUGUAUACAUUGAACAGGUGACAUCAAAGAAAGACCAGGAACAGUAUUGGUAUAGGAAUGACAUACCAUACUCUUUCGUGCCUGUGAAGCAAUUCGCAGAUGCAUUCCGUUCCUUCCACGUGGGACAGUCUAUUCAGAAUGAACUUUCGGAGCCAUUUGAUAGGAGCAGGAGCCACCCUGCUUCUCUUGCUACCUCCAAGUUUGGAGUUAGCUGGAUGGCGUUGCUCAAAGCCAAUAUUGAUAGAGAGCUUCUACUCAUGAAGAGGAACUCGUUUGUGUACAUCUUUAAAGCUGCCAAUGUAAGUUCAGACCUAUGGCUUGGUCUUCUUUUUAAUAUUGAGAUGAAGAUUACCUGACACCAAUCUGAAUUUUACAUCAUCACAGUUAACUCUUACCGCGUUCCUCGUAAUGACCACGUUUCUUCGUACCAAAAUGCGCCAUGAUACAACUUAUGGAACGAUCUAUAUGGGGGCUCUGUACUUUGCCCUUGACACAAUCAUGUUCAAUGGGUUCGCGGAGCUUGGCAUGACUGUCAUGAAGCUUCCUGUCUUCUUCAAGCAGAGGGAUCUUCUAUUCUUCCCUGCAUGGACCUACACCAUACCAUCAUGGAUUCUUCAGAUCCCCGUCACAUUUUUUGAGGUUGGAGUUUAUGUUUUCACAACAUACUAUGUUGUUGGCUUUGAUCCCAAUGUGAGCAGGUAAGACAGUGCAGCACAUACUUUCAUGUCCUAAGAAUGCAUAAAAGAGAUAACUCUUUUAUCUGUACUGUAUGCUGGUAGAAAGAAAUUAAGCAGAAUGUUCACAUAGUACUGAUUUUGUUCUGUGAAAUCUGAAUAAUUUAUAUCUUUCUCAGGUUCUUUAAGCAGUAUCUGCUACUUGUUGCACUUAAUCAGAUGUCAUCUUCACUGUUUCGAUUUAUUGCUGGCAUCGGUAGAGACAUGGUUGUGUCUCAAACCUUCGGACCCUUAUCAUUGUUGGCUUUCACAGCACUGGGUGGCUUUAUUCUUGCAAGACGUAAGUUACUCAAUAUGCAAUUAUAAAAUUAAAAUGAUAUUUAUUCUUAAAUCGUAUUGACGGUGCUAACCCUUAACUGUUCCUGACUAAUUUCCAUCUCAAUCUUUCUUUGCCUUUCCAGCUGAUGUGAAGAAAUGGUGGAUUUGGGGUUACUGGAUUUCUCCCUUAUCGUAUGCACAGAAUGCUAUUUCAACAAACGAAUUUCUAGGGCGCAGUUGGAACAAAGUAAGUAAAGAUCGCAUUAGUCACUUAGAAAAAUGUGAAAGAAAAAUCAACUUAUUGUAUUCCCAUGUUGUAGAGUUUUCCUGGACAAAAUGACACUGUCGGAAUAAGCAUUCUGAAAUCUCGAGGCAUAUUUACUGAAGCUAAGUGGUAUUGGAUUGGGUUUGGUGCUUUGAUUGGAUAUACACUCUUGUUCAACCUCCUUUACACUGUGGCACUUUCAUUUUUGAAACGUAAGUGGAUUGAUGAGACUGUUUUUAUAUGGAUAUAAUUCCAAGAAUUUAGCAAAACAGCAUUUUGUGGGUUAACAGUUGAUGCUCACUGUGACUGCUUUGCUAACUUUUCGCAGCACUUGGUGACUCUUACCCAUCAGUGCCUGAAGAUGCACUGAAGGAAAAGCGUGCCAACCAAACUGGUGAAAUUCUAGAUAGCUGUGAGGAAAAGAAAUCUAGAAAGAAGGAACAGUCCCAAAGUGUCAACCAAAAGCAUUGGAAUAACACUGCAGAAUCUAGUCAGAUCAGGCAGGGAAUACUCCCCUUUGCACAACUGUCACUUAGUUUUAAUGACAUAAAAUACUCAGUGGACAUGCCUGAGGUAAAAAUUUUCAGUGAACUAUGCAUUGCAACAUUUUUACAGCUACAUACUUGCAUACCCAAGAUGCCUUACCCAAUAGUACUGUUCAACACUUACAGGCAAUGACAGCACAAGGAGUAACAGAAGAGCGCUUGUUACUUUUAAAGGGUGUUAGUGGUUCGUUUAGGCCAGGAGUACUUACCGCACUGAUGGGUGUGAGUGGUGCUGGAAAGACUACUCUGAUGGAUGUAUUAGCAGGGAGGAAAACUGGAGGAUACAUAGAGGGAGACAUCACCAUCUCAGGCUAUCCAAAGAAACAAGAGACCUUUGCGCGUAUAUCAGGAUACUGUGAACAAAAUGAUAUUCAUUCUCCACAUGUAACAGUUUAUGAGUCACUCGUAUUUUCUGCUUGGAUGCGGCUUCCUUCAGAGGUUGAUUCAGAAACAAGAAAGGUUAGCUGGGUUGUAGGUAUUGAUUAAUUUAAAUAGGCAAAUGAGCAGGCUUUGAAAUUCGUGGUUUUUGACUGAUUUUUUUACUGAAUUAUGAUAACAGAUGUUCAUAGAGGAGGUCAUGGAGCUUGUAGAGCUCACAUCACUGAGGGGUGCACUCGUUGGGCUUCCUGGAGUGAAUGGCUUGUCAACUGAGCAACGGAAGAGGCUAACUGUUGCUGUGGAGCUUGUUGCUAACCCUUCGAUCAUUUUUAUGGAUGAGCCUACAUCUGGUCUUGAUGCUCGGGCCGCUGCAAUUGUGAUGAGGACCGUAAGGAAGACCGUUGACACUGGUAGGACUGUUGUUUGCACAAUUCACCAGCCAAGUAUUGACAUAUUUGAAGCAUUUGAUGAGGUGGACAAUUCUUUAUUGUCAAUAUGGAUAAAGGUCCUUAGAUUUAUUAAGAUAAGUUCACAUAUUGACAAUGUUAUCAUUUAUGUAUGACUUACAGCUUUUCCUAAUGAAAAGAGGAGGAGAAGAGAUAUAUGUUGGUCCAUUGGGCCAGAAUUCCUCAAAACUGAUUGAGUACUUUGAGGUAAGAAGAUUAGUAAAAUAAAGUAUUAUUCAUUGCAGGUUGUAGAACUUAGUGCCAGCAAAACUAUAUAAAGGUGGAUACUUUUUAUUUGAUCUGUUCAGGGAAUUGAAGGCAUUAGUAAGAUAAAAGAUGGCUACAAUCCAGCAACAUGGAUGUUGGAAGUAACCUCUACUACACAAGAGGAGAUGCUUGGGAUUGAUUUCAGUGAAAUCUACAAACGAUCAGAACUAUAUCAGUUUGUCUCCUUUCAUGCUGUUUUAGUGAACUGUAGUAUAUAGUGCAACAUGUAAUUCCUGAUUGGGUGACAACAUAAUAAAUUUGCCCCUUUUCACAAUUUCAGAAGGAACAAGGAACUUAUACAAGACCUAAGCACACCUACUCCUGGUUCUACUGAUCUCCAUUUCCCUACACAGUACUCUAGGUCGUUCUUCACACAAUGCAUAGCUUGCUUGUGGAAGCACAAGUUAUCAUAUUGGAGGAAUCCAUCCUACACAGCAGUGAGGUUACUCUUCACCAUCAUCAUUGCACUACUGUUUGGAACAAUGUUUUGGGACCUCGGAAGGAAAACGUACAUCUUCUAAGUUUAUUCUCCUAUCUUUCUGAUUGAUAGAACCUACUUUGCAUGUGAUAUAUUAUGAUACCUUACUCAUACCAUGGCAGAAAAAAAGAACAGGAUCUAUUCAAUGCUGUGGGAUCAAUGUAUGCUGCAGUUCUUUACAUUGGGAUACAAAAUUCUGGUUGUGUUCAACCUGUAGUGGUGGUGGAGAGAACAGUCUUUUACCGAGAAAGAGCUGCCGGCAUGUAUUCAGGUUUCCCGUAUGCAUUUGGACAGGUGAUUUCUAAUUGGAAUAAAUCUAUUUUAUUAUCCCUCAACUCUUUAUGGAGUCCAAAUUUCACUUUGAACUAUGAAAUCAUCCAAGUUGUAUACCUGAACUUUCAAAAUAUGAUAUGUUGCCUAGACACGCUACCAUAAUACACCAUUUCCCUAAAACAUCGAUAUGGCAAUACAUCUUAGUAUCUUAUGAAAAACAACAAUUAGAAAUACAGCAAUUAAUCAAGAAUGAAGGAAGAAAGCAACCAAAGGUUGACUCAAAGUUUCAAAUCUUCUAGAGGAUCUCAUCAUAGAGUUCCACAGGACAGACUAGAAGCAUCGGAACAUAAGUGCUCCGUAACAGCAAUGUUGUUCCAACUUCCAAUGGAUGACCAACAAGACCACCAAUUGCUUGGAUGUCAGCAAAUUGAAGAGAAACAAGAGGGAGAUAGAACAGAUUUUCCUGUAUUAUGUUCUUGCAGUAACAGUUAAGAAUUACCUGACCUUGUAGAUGGAAUAAGGCUGAAACCACCAUUGUAUUAGAUAUUGGGUUAUUCUUCUUUUUUUUUAGGGUGGAUAUUGGGUUAUUCUGAUUCAAUUUUGAAGGUUAAGUGAAAGUUUAUUUUUACUCCGUAGAGUAGAGGCAUAAAAUUGAUUCUUUCCUUUAUAAUUCAUCUUAGUAAUGGAUGAAGAAAUACAAUGCCUUUGAAAUCAAACUGAAGCUUGUAGUUCAAUGAAAAGAACUAUUCACUACUGUUCAUAAAACUUAAAAGUCAUAAGUUCUUUUGGGCUCCAACCCUAACUUCACUUCCUUGUCUCUUUUGUAGGUUGCGAUCGAAUUGCCAUACAUCCUAGUUCAGACACUGGUAUAUGGUGUACUAGUCUACUCAAUGAUUGGGUUUGAAUGGACUGUUGCUAAGUUCAUUUGGUACCUGUUCUUCAUGUACUUCACAUUGCUGUAUUUCACGUUCUUCGGAAUGAUGGCAGUAGGAUUGACACCAAACGAGAGCAUUGCAGCUAUCAUUUCACCAGCAAUCUACAAUGCAUGGAACCUCUUCUCAGGAUAUCUUAUACCUCGACCUGUAGGUUACUUUCCUGCCGCGUAUGGUUUUGUUUUCAUUUAGAUUUCAUUACCAUAUUGUUCUAAUGUGACUCAUGCAUUUAACUCUCGCAAAUUCAGAAAAUUCCUGUCUGGUGGAGGUGGUACUGUUGGAUUUGCCCUGUUGCAUGGACAUUGUAUGGAUUGGUUGCCUCCCAGUUUGGAAAUAUCCAAACUAAACUUGAUGGCAAAGACCAAACCGUGGCUCAGUUCAUUACGGAAUACUAUGGUUUCCAUCAUGACUUACUAUGGCUUGUUGCCGUUGUGCAUGUUGUUUUCACUGUGAUGUUCGCUUUCCUGUUCAGUUUUGCAAUCAUGAAGUUCAACUUCCAGAGGAGAUGAAGAAGAUGCCAUUCUUAGAUGUAGUCGUAGAAGAUGGUGUAGUCUCAUAUAUAGAGUUUAUUUUCAUUCGGUACAUAGAAAAUGUAACAAGUUCCUUGUAAGUUGUAACCAGCUCAUACUAGGCAGAGCAGAGGCAAUAACUUCAUCUCAAGAAAUGCUGCUGUAUUUGACAAUUAAAUAAAUGCAGAUUUUUUUGUUCAUUCAAUCUACACAGAUCUCCACUGGAGAGCCUUUUUGGUUAAAUUGUGUGAUCUGUUAAAUAGCAUUCUAUGCAACUCCUCUCUUUUCGCUUGGUUCUUUUUGCUGAAACACAUCUUUGAUGAAUUGUGACAGCAUUGUGUCUUCCUGAAUUUACUUUGAUUUUGAGUUUGAUCAAUUUAGAUUUCCGAGUAAGCAUGAGAGGUUUCAGUUUGUUUUCAGGUUUCCAUGAUGGUGCCCUUUCAUUGAUGUGAAUGCUAAUCUCAAAUCCCGUUCUACGUUUUGUGUCCGCUCCAGCAACCAAUGGCUAAAGUCAUCUAUACUAAUAUAAAAAGUACCAGUUGUUUCUUUCCUACAUCCACCCAGAAAAGUGUACCCAGAAGUUUCUAACCGUUGGAUCCUCUAAUCUAACAAUGUAAAUUACAAGUCGGAUUAACACUGCAAUUAGCGCCAGAUUAGCACCGAUUAGCGCUUCGCAAUCCUUCUCUUCGCAUUUUUUUACUGCAAAUUGAUCAAAAAAGAAUCUUAAAUAAGGACUGGAAACAAGCUGAAGCUAAAAUAGAAAAGAGAGUUGGGUGUUGGCAAGGGAAACUUCAGUCUAUUGGUGGAAGAGUUACUCUAAUUAACUCUAGCUUGAGCAGUACCCCUCUGUAUAUGUUUUCUUUCUAUAGAAUUCCAAAAGGGGCGCUAGAAAAGAUUGAUUACUUUAGAAGAAGAUACCUUUGGCAGGAAGAUCAGGGGAUUAGAAAAUAUCACCUGGUGCAAUGGCCAAUAGUGUGUUCACCUAGAGACAUGGGGGGCUUGGGUAUUUCGGAUUUGGAAACUAUGAACAAGACACUUCUGGGGAAAUGGCUGUGGAGGUUGGAGAAUACUGAUGCUUUAUGGCAAAAAUUGUUAAGAGAAAAAUAUCUAAAAAAGAAACCACUUACAGCACAAAAAAUCAAGCAGGGAGAUUCCCAUUUUUGGCAUGGAUUGAUGGAGAUAAAAGAAAACUUCAUUUCUGUGAAAUAUCCUUAGGGAAUGGCUGUAAUACUUUGGUUUGGGAGGAUAAAUGGACAGGGAAGCAAUCUCUGGCUGAAAGAUAUCCUAAUCUAUACAGAAUUACCAAUGCAAAUGGAGUGACCUUAACUUCUGUUAAAAACAAAGGGUGGGAGUCUAUUACUUUCAGAAGAAAUUUGACAGGAGAUAGACUUGCAGACUGGAUCAAUAUAAAAAACUUAUGUGAGACGGUAAUAUUACCAGGAGGGAGAGACACCUUAAAAUGGAUUUUGACAAAAAAAUGGAGAGUUUAGUGUUAAAUCUUUUUAUAAAGCUCUGAAAACACAUGACACAAUCCCCAGGCCAAUAGGGAUACACAAAAAAAUCUGGAAAAUCAAAAUUCCUUUUAAGAUAAGGAUUUUUAUGUGGCUGAUGAUGCAAAAUAGGAUUUUAACCAAAGAUAACUUGAGAAAGAGAGGAUGGAAAAAAGGAACAGAAACAUGUCAAUUCUGUGAGAAAAAAAGAGACUUUGCAGAAUUUGUAUUUUUGAUUGCCCUAUGGCUAGAUUUACCUGGAAUAUGGUUUGUUGUGCUUUUGAUCUUAAACCAAUCAGAAAUUUACAUCAAACCUUGGAGAAUUGAACAAAAAACUGUGAUAGAAUGACAUCACAGCUACUGCUGAUUGGAGUUGAUAGAAUAACAAACUGCCAUCUGAUCCUUCUGAAAUUUUGUUUGCUGCUUGUAAUUGGAUCUCCGAUUGGGGUAUUUUACAGAUUUCGGAGGAAAGGCAAAGAAAGUUGCUUUGGGGAGCCAAGCUCCUAAAGCAGGUAACAAGUGAAGUCUUUAAAUCAAGAUAUGGAUGGAGAUCGAGCGUGUGCAGGCUGGACAACACAUGAAGCUGGAUGGACAAAAAAGAGCAGAAGAUAGAGUUUUUUUUGUGGACCGGAAUCCUCAGCUAAAGUCUGGUUCAGUUCUGGGAGUUAUUGCAAGUAGAAGAUCUUUUGUUUUGUCAGGUCAAAAUGAUUGUAGUGAGCAAAGAGCUCUGGCACCUGUGUUUCUGUUUUUUUCACUUCUGAAGACAUGAACCCUUAAAUGGGAUGACUCCUUUGUAUUAGCUACAUCAUUUCUUUAAUGGAAAUGGAGGGCUCAGUCCCUUUGCUAAAAAAAAAGAUAAACUGCUAAUAAUGAUCAUUGCAAUGGACUUUCGAUGACAUUAAAAAUGCCAUUGAAGAGGCAAAUGAUUAUGAGGUAGAUACAAAAGGGACUUGCAGCACCAAUUGGCGCUCCUCCUAAUGCUUCACAUAGCCUUUGUGCAUGAUCUACAACAGAAACUUUAACUAACCUAUAUGCCUAUAAGUCGACCUUUGUGCACAUUCUACAACAGAAACUUUGACAAUUGCCUAUACGCCUACAUUUCAACGUGCCUUGCACGUGCACACUCACUAGUCACAAGAAAUAUGGUUUGCCAGUAGUUUUAGUUCGUUUUGUUUUGUUUUGUAUUCACACAGCACACUCUUCACAAAAGUAAUUCUAUCUCAAAAUCAUUUGGAGCUCUUAGGCAAUUUAACAUCUAGAUUUGACCAACAAAAUUUGCAAAGUGUGUUUGCUUGGUUAUCCCACAGUUAAACACGCAAUUUGCUAAUCCCGGCAAAUUGAGUUCAACACCAACUGAAACAGGCAGGCGGCAGCAGGGAUCAAACUAAAAUACGGUGUGCAGAAGCAGAGUAUUCAACUUAUUCCCCACACAUUUUUAUCAACUAUCAACUAAACUGUUGCAAAAAACAAGAAGUCCAAAUGCCCGCCAACCGCUAGCAAGGCAAGUAAAAACAACGGGGUAGAGCUAACUGACGCUGGCAUGACGCGGCGAAGCAUUUCGUCGAACACCUCGCGCGCACGCGUGCUCACGCUCCGCCCUCGGCGCCGCACACCUCCUUGAGCCGCCCCGCCGCAGCAUCCGCGUCGAUCGAGUACUGCAAGGCAGCAAAGAGCGGUGAACCAGCACGCCGAUGCGGUGGAAGGCGAGCGAGCGCGCGCGCUCCGCUCAAGCGGCGGGCGUGUUUGUAGGUUAGGUACCGUACUACCACCCACCUUGGAGAGGACCCAGGAGGAGUGGGCGUAGGCGCGGCGGAGGAGGGCGGCGAGGUCGUCGUCAGCGGAGAGGUCGCGGUAGUUGACGAAGUUCUCGCGGGCGUACUUGGCGUAGUACGGCCGCGCGUCCGCCGGCAGCCGCCGCACCAGCCGCAGCACCUCCCGGUACGCGCGCAGCCCCGCGUUCGCCAUAGUUUCGCUUCCCCUGAGGCCUGUGCUGGGCUCGACUAUUUAUUACCACUGAAGACUGAAGUGAUGAACAUUUAAUUAUUAGUACUAUUUUACUACUACUAGUAUUAGGGUUAAUUGGAUCCUAUCAUUGCAAAUUUGCUAUUUAGAAAAAUACUAUUACUAUUUGCAAAUCACGAUAUCAGCUGGGUGUCACUAAAAUUUUACAAAAUUGGAUCCAUACCAUCGUCGUCAUAUUUUCCGUCAUGCUCUCCUUAUUCUCUCUUCUUUUAUUCUCCUCUCCUUCUUCCUCGUCGGCCAGGCGCUCUUCUCCUCUCCAGGCAUGGAUGUGUGGGGGCGGUGAGAGGGAAAGGCAGCAACAACGGGUGGCAAGCCACAGCCGUCCGCAGGCAGCGCGUGGGCAAGGUGACUCCGAUGGUAGCAGGCGGGCAUGGAUGUGUGAGGGCGGCAAGAGGGAAAGACAGCGAUGGCGGGCGGCGAGCCAUGGAUGUCCUCAUGCAGCGAGAGGGCAAGACGAUGCCGGCGAUGACGGGCCAUGGCUAUCCGUGGGCUGCGGCGACAGGGUGAGGCGGCCAUGGCAUUUCCUUCCCUCGUCAUCAAUGAGCUCUUCCACUAGAUGUCGUUCCUACUCAUCAGCGAUGCCCAUGAAAUCAACGAGGAGCAGCUUAGGCUCGCCGGCGGAAUGGGAGAGUGUACUUGGGGAGAUUGGGCUUGCCGAUGACUUCAUGCCCACGAGGCUACCGAUUCGCUUCCCAACUAGAUCUAAUGGGGGGAGACCGCUGUGGUUGUAGCCUUCUCCCCGCGCGCCGCCGCUGAGGGCAGUCGUUCCCAUUGGAGAGAGGCGGCGGGAGGAUCGUCAUGCCCUCCGGAAGAGAGGAGGAUGGAGGAAGAAGAUGAAACUGAUGUGUGGGUCCCACGUUCAGGGUUAUUUUGGUCCAUGUGAAAAAUGGAAACUGUGACGGCGAUGACAUUGAUCCAAUUUUACAAAAUUCCAGUGGCACUCAACUGAUAUCACGAAUAGGGGUGGCAUUUUUCUAAUAUGGUAAAUUUGUUAUGGCAUGGAUCCAACCGUACAUGUAAACGCAUGAUGUGAUAAUUGUCGUUAUUAGCCUUGCUAAGUCAGUUUGCAUUGAUAAAUUUAGGGCCCGUUCUUCUGGUCAAGAACAAAUUCUACCUUAAUUUCAAUUAACAUGUUUCUAAAACUAGAAAGAAAGCCCGCGUAGAUGCGCAGGCAUCUUAUUGAAUGUUUUAUAAAAAUAAUGAUAAAAGAAGUUACAUCUCACUAUUUCUACUUAAAUGUUAUAAAAUAAUAAGAAUAUAUCUCAGAUUAAAAAUACACUUUGAUCGAGUGACAUAUAAAUUCUCAUAUUGUCACCACUAAAUUAUGCUUUAAAACCAAUUAACCCUGUUGGAGGUACACCACAAAGGGCCUUCGGCCAGAUCUACCGAAACCAAGAACUUAGGCGACAGGCUCAAACCGGAGGCAAGCAGCGAAGGUCGAGAAUGGAACCAUAUGGGCGAAAGCCACAUGGCGAAAACCGUGGCUCGGAACACGCGGGCUUCGCCAGGCAAAGACCUCGUUAGAAGGCCGCAUGGGCGAAGACGGUGAGGUGAAAGCCUUGGCACGAAGGCACAGGCUUCGCCAAGUACCGAACCCCACCGUAAGGAGGCCCAGUGGGCCAUUGCGCUUUCGGGGGAUUUUGCCAAAUAAAUUGGCCGAGCUAUUUAGCCUAAUAGGGGCCCAUACAUGUAAAGGACACUGUGUGCCCCCAAUAAUGUCCCUAUCAUAAGGGUAACCAUGUAAAUUCCCCUGUAAAACCUAAACCCUAAAGGAGGAACCUGUAAUAGGGCUAUAAAUAGCCCCCUAAGGCCACGUAAUAGGGAGAUUAAAAAAUUUUCACUAUGUAAUACAAUUGUGUUUACUUCCAACUACUAUUGAGAGAACCACGCAUUUCGACGUGAUGCAGUUGUCGGUUCGACAACAAACCCUAAAACCUAAUACAUUAUUAAUACACUAAAUUAUCCACUACUUACGUUUUAUGUCUCAUUUUUUUUUCUAAAUCCAUUUAAAAAUAUUGUAAAAAUACGACCACUUCUAUCCAUUAAUGGAAUAUCACCAUUAAAGUUAAACAUGAAUACUACUCUCAUGUGAUGACGCUCUCUCUCGUGGCCCGAUCUUCUGGUGAGGGGAUAACUCUCGCUUUGAUCGAGUGCGACGUUUGCGACGUGGCUACCAACCAGAACAAGUCCAGGACGCCGUGCAAUCGUUACACCACAAACGAUGUCGUACCAACCGUGAUACGCGGUUGAUGAUCCCUGCAAUGCAAACGAGAGAACACUACAAGAACAAGAUAAGAUGCAAUCUAAAUAUUGCGAAUAGGUGAUUAAGCACAAAGGAAUAGUUGCGAUUGAAGUAGUAGAUCUAAUUGACCCGGCAAAUCAACACACCAACUAUUGGGGGCUCUGAAUCAAUAGUCGCCGACUAAUCGAGCGAGGACUAGAGACAAAGUGAAUGGCACUUGGCAAAAUUCAACUAAACAAAACCCAAUUGUUUUUUUAGGAUGUACAAAGCUAUUUAUAGAGGAAAACAAAGCUAGGGUUAAGUGCUAAUUCGUGGAGGUGGAGGGAGACACUUCCGAGAUGGGCCUAGUCUAUUACAAAGCCUAAGGCUCAAGUUUGGUUUCAGCAACAGCACUGUCUUGUUUUGGCGAUUCCCGUUGACUCGAGAUGAAUUUGGACAUGAGACCAGAUGCGUUUGAAAGGUAGAGAGAUAAUCUUUCCAUGAAGUCCAAGAUUACCCAAAUCGGAGUUGGCAUGAAGGCGCUAGGUCCGUUUGAAGUCAGUGCUAUCUCUGGAGGCCGAACUAGAUUCCAAAACUCGUUGGAUUUUAAUAUCUUGUAGAUCCUCCAUUCACUCGAUGUAUUCUUUAGCCAUGUUUUAUAUUUCUCGUGCUUGGAUGUAUGCAUAUACUUGAUGGUCACAUCAUCAUGGGUAAAGUCGAUCAUAGCCACCAAGACUUCCUUUCUCCAUUGCCUUGAAACAUGGGUCCCGCAUCGAUAUAGCCAUGCUCCUGAAGACCAGCUUGGAGCAUAAUUUUAAUGUACUCUCCCUCCUUCCAAAAGUCUAAGUUAUAUUUCUUUUUCACUAAGAUCAAGGUGUAGUCAACUCAUUCAUCAUGUGACAAAACCAAUGAACAUGCAAGCAAUAAGUAUUAAAAUGACUUUUUGGUUCCGAUAAAAAAUUUAAUAUAGCACAUAGUGACUACAAAUAGGAUUUAGACUUUUGGAAAACCAAAGAAUGAAAUAGGACUCAUGGAGUUUUGCAUUGGUAAGUAGAAAGUUGAGUACUAUUAGCAAUGGUGGUCUCCACUGGGACUGUCUUAACUUAGCCGUAUAUUCCAUACUAAACUUGCGACACCAUAAUAAACUUUGUUGUCCAUGUUUGGUGUCCUUUAGGGAAGAACAAAGAGAAGAUGGAGGUGACCAAAGUAGUUUUUAAAAAUGUUUUGAGUAGAUUUGUGGUGCAGUGUAGACACGAUUUGUUUAUGUUGUUGAUCAUUACAACUCAUUUUUUUUAUUAUAUAGAUAGAAUACUCUCUUUUGAAUAUGACUGAGGUCAAUCGUUCGAUGGUAUUUUUAAAAAAUUAUAUCUAAUGAGACAUAACACCACGAUAAUAACCAGAGCAUCAUGUUAUUAUUUAUAUUUUGACAAAUAUAUAUAGUCAAAUAGUUCUAAAAGUAUAAAGCUACUUUGAGAAUCUUAAUCUCAAAUAAAUUAUAAUUUAAUCAGACCUACUUGAAAAACACAACUAAAUUGUGUUGUUUUUAUUUUUUACAUAUGCAGAUUUAAAUUAAUGUUGUAUAUUUGUGAAGUGAUAUUUCCCUCCCUAAAAUAUGAUGUAUUUUUUUGAAAAAUUAUCAUACAUAUGUCAGCCUCAUGUGCCAUGGUGUAUUUAGGACUAUAAUAUAACUUUUAUAAUUUAAUUAAAGAAAUACAACAUGAUCACAAAUUGGAUAUAUAAUUUCAAAAUAAUUUAGAAGAUUGUUUAAAGAACAUUUAUUGGGUAUUCUAUGUUUUUCUUAUAUAUCUUAGUUUAACUAUAUAUAUUUAUAUUAUAUUUGUGAAGUAGUAUGGUUUUUUUCCCUUCCGUGAACAGUUGAAAUUUAAAUUGCACCUACUACUCGUACGUCGUACGUACGAGACCUGAGAACGGUAGUAUCGUUUCUAUAUUUCGCAAUAAUAGAUCUAACCUAAUGGUGUAGAAUAACGGGUCCACCAAUUUAAGUAAAAAUCAAUGGUGAGAUUAGAUAGUACCACAUGACGGCUUAGAAACGUUUAUAGGAGUGCCACAUGGCGGUUUAAGACGGUUUAAGAGUGUUUGUAGGAAGUUUAAUAUACUUUUAGUAUAUAAUAGAUAAAUAGAUAGCUAAAUGGUAUGUUUUGUACGAAAAUUUUCUAUAUAAACGCUACUAUGAAAUAUUGAAUAAAUAUAUUUUUAAGUUUAUAAUAACUAAAACUUAAUUAAUCAUGCACUUAUAGCAUUUUUUGUUUAAACGUGUAAUGAGUUCUCAUUUUCAUCAGUUGCAGACACCAUGUUAGUAAAUCAGCCAAUUUAUAUAUUCAAACUAAAAAUCAAUUUCUUUAUAAAAUUUAUCUGAAUUCCACCAUUUUUUUUGUUAACCGUGAAUUAUCUACCUGUUAGCAACAAUUGUCGACUUUUCACAUUUUGAAACCCCGGUUAAGGUAUAUUCAUGUCACACGAAGAGACAUUUCAUUAUAAUUAUAUUUAAGCUUAUUACAUAUUACUCCCAAAGGUCAUAAAUAUUUGAUAUUUAGAGUAAAAUUCAGCCAAACUAUUAAAAGUUUGAUCACCAAUAACAUCUCACCCUUAAUUUGGAAAAAAAAAAGCUAUAUGUAGAUUUAUCCUGAAAAGGUACUGUCAUAUAUAAUAUUAUAUGUACUUAAUAGAUUUUGUACACUAAUCUUCAAGUUUUAAAACUUUCAAAUCUUGUCUUGAACAUAAAAAUGUUUAUGAAUAGAGGGAAUAUGUUGAUUUUUUUUGCCCAUCUGAAACAAAAUGUAUUUUUUUUCCAUACGGUCAAAUUAGAUUUUUGCAGGAGGCUGGGCAACCCGCACGCACCUAGGGGGCUACAAAAAUCGUUAUUUCUGUGUUCGUGACGCACCUGUACAUGAAAAUCAGAUUUUUGCGUAUGGGUGCUUAUGUCAUCCACAUGCAAAAAUAAAAGUCUGAAAACAAUAAAAUCUCAAAAAUUCAAAAGUUGAAACCCUAGCUCCCUGAUUUAUUCCCAAACCCUAGCCCGCUGCUGCCAGAUGUUGUCACCGCCGGAGUCAUCCCAAACCCUAAUUCACCGCCCACCACCAGAUCCACGUGGGGGAGGGCGGCGGCUACCAGAUCAGUGCAGGGGAGGAUGCAGCCGACGGAUCCGCGCGGGGCCGCUCCUGCACUGGCCUCCCGCUUGAGCCCACCGCCAGAUCCAUGUGAGGGAGGGUGAGGGCCGUUGCUGUCGCCCUUGCCCUCGCCCACCGCUGACGUUGCCGCUGGUGCCUGCCGUCGGGAGGGAUUCGAGGGAAGAGGAGGAGUCAUCCGGAGUAAGGAGGAGUAGGGGAGAGGAGGAGUUAGACAGAGGGAGGAGUGGAGAAUAAAAAAUGGGUGAUUUUUCCAUGCAUAUCACUUAACAUGUUCGCAUGCGAAAAUAUCUGAUUUGUUAAAAGACCCGCUUGCAAAAAUUGUUUUUUACAUGCGAGCCUGCGAUAUGCGAAAAUGGAGGUUGAUUUUUGUAGACGUGAACACUUAUGGCCCACCUGCCUGCAACCUAUUGGGGUGUUUGGCCAGAAAAAAAAUCAUUUGUUUAAUAAUGACAACAUUUGUUAUUUUAAAUCAUUCAUUCAUAAAUAAAAUGGAGAUACUAUUAUGCUAUUAUUAUGCUAUUUGAAUAAGGUAGACAUCAACCCCGUGAGUUACAUAUAUUGUUGUUCGCUAAUCCAAACUAUAACGAUUUAUAUGAUUCAAAUUUUGUGUCACAAUAUAAGCAUUCUUACGCUAAUUCCCAUCACUGUUUCAAUGGGUCCAAAGCCAAUCACAUGCUAGGAAAAAGAUCUAAGCAAUUCAAAAUUACAACUUCCAACUGAAAUAACUAAACAACCAAACCUUAGUAUUUGCUUAAUAAUCUAAAAAUCUUUAUAUUUAAAAACGAAGGGAGUAUGUUAUAAAUAUGCUAGAUGUAUUGGUUAUUUUUAAAAUGUACUGGCUUGGAUUUAAGAGCAUUUCACAUAAAUUAGAACUUCUUAACCAAUAAUAUCAAAUUUUUUUAAUAUACUAACAAUAUACUAAGUUGAGAGUUUUAUGAUUUUUAUGCAACAACUUCAUGUUUAUUAUGUCCAAGGUUUUGAAAAAAAAAAUCUAAUUGCAUGUCUUGUUUAAUACUCCCUCCGUUCUAUUUUAAGUGCAGCCAUGAGUUUCCGUGCCUAACUUUGAACGUCCGUCUUAUUUGAAAAUUUUUUGAAAAAAAUUAAAAACGUAAGUCACGCAUAAAGUAAUAUUCAUGUUUUGUCAUCUCAUAACAACAAAAUACUACUACCUCCGUCCCAAAAUAAGUGCAGUUUUGCACUAUUCAUCUUCAACGUUUGACCGUUCGUCUUAUUUGAAAAUUUUUUAUGAUUAUUAUUUUUAUUGUUAUUAUAUGAUAAAACAUGAAUAGUGCUUUAUGUGUGACUAAUUUUUUUAAAAUUUUUCAAAUAAGACGGACGGUCAAACGUUGGACAUGGAUUUCGACGACUGCACUUAUUUUGGAACGGUGGUAGUAAUUAAUUUUUUUUUUUCAAAUAAGACGAACGAUUAAAGUUGGACGUAAAAACUCAUGGUUACAUUUAAAAUGAGACGGAGGGAGUAUGAACUUUCAAUAUGAUAUACGGUUAUAAUAAAAGUAUAGUACAUAUCAACGGUAACAUGACAUUUAAAAUAUCCCAUAAUUUAUAUAGGGAGAGAGAUUCUAGAAGAACUUUUCUAAACAAACUUUUCUAAGGGGGACAUGCCUGAAUGCACUGAUUCUCUUUUUUGUUUUAUGUCCCCUCGGCAGAGUGGUGGAUGGAUUUGACGGGACAGAGCUGCACAAGGUUUCUUUUAUUGUUUGCUUAUCUAUUUAUCGGUUGCAAUUAAAAUUUGAAUUUUGAAGAUAAUUUUAGUGCUGAUUUUAAAAUUUUUAUACCGUAGUUUAUUUUUCAAUAUUAUUUUUUAAACAUUUAUUGAUACAAAUGAAAGUAGUUUUCCUCAUAAACUUUUUUUUAAUUAUUUUGAUUAUUUUAUCAUGACUUAUCGGUUGUAGGCGUAGCUCAGUGCUUAUGUCAGCAGGGUCUGAAUAGGACGGGCGCUAGUGUCGGAUCUCGGAUGAGAAGAUCCACGGUCAAGCUGGAUGACCAUUCACAGGGUGAGCUAUGUGCGAAACUGAUGACACUUCACCAACUUUAUUACCAGUAGUUUUAUAUGAUAUGAUACCUGAAAUCUGGCUUCCAAUGCUGUCAUGUAACCUAAGAUGGAUAAUAAAGCUAUACUACUAGUAACCCCUCGGCUCCUAAGUGCAGUUAUAAAUUUCCGUAUCCAACGUUUUAUGGUCUGUUUUAUUUAAAAAAUUUUAUAAUUACUAUUUAUAUUAUUAUUAGAUGAUAAAAUAUAAAUAAUACUUUAUAUGUAACUUAUUUAUUUUAUUUAUUUUAUAAAUUUUUGAAAUAAGACAGAUCAAACGCCAUACAUGUCAACUGUAACCGUAUUUAAGAUAGGAGUGAGGGAGUAGUUUACAAGUAUCGAAAUUGGAAUCUAAUUCUAACCCUCAUUGUGCCGGUGCUGUGCUAGUGUGCUUUGGCGGGCGGCCGCGCCGCUGAAUGAAUCAGAAAACUAACCAACGCGGCCCAAUGAUUCUGCGCACUCUGCGGCUUGCAUUCCAACCUCCCCCCACCCACCACCUCACUACCCUAGCCUGCAGCGGCUGCCGCGCUAUAAAUAGGCAGCCAUGCACAGACUCCAUGGCUGCCUCUCUCGAGCUCCAGACUCCAGUAGCAGCAGCAGCAGCUCUCCUCCUCUCCACUGCUAGUUCGACGAUAUCGAUGGAGGGCACGGUGCUCUGCUCCGCCAACCACGCGCCGCUCACGCCCAUCAGCUUCCUCGAGCGCACCGCGCUCGUGUACCCCGACCGUCUCGCUAUUGUCGCCUCGGAUGGCAGCGCCGGCGUGGCCGUGUCGCGCACCUGGCGGGACACUCGGGCCCGCUGCCUCCGCCUCGCCGCCGCCCUCACCGGCCUCCUCGGCGUCCAGCGCCACGACGUGGUACGUAUGAACAGGCGCCACGCCACUGUAACAGUAACAUUAAUUUCACCCCUCAAAAUCGCUGUGAAUUCGCAUGCCAAAUGCUGUAAUUUAAUCGCGGUGAUUCACAUUUUGGUUCAUGCGCAGGUUGCGGUGUUCGCGCAGAACAUUCCUGCUGUUUGCGAGCUCCACUUCGGCGUCCCCAUGGCCGGCGCCGUCAUCUGCACGCUCAACUCGCGCCUCGACGCCGCCAUGGCGGCCGUCCUGCUGCGCCACUCCGAGGCCAAGGUCGUCUUCGUCGACCGCGCUCUGCUCGGCGUCGCCCAGAAAGCCC